rnacentral:lncRNA from 1 species
UUUUUUUUUUUUUUUCUAUGUUAUGUCUUACAAAAUCCUCCCUACCAUUUGCCAAUAAAAGUGAAAACAAUGCGUUGGUUUGCCAAAAAAUAGAGAAAUAAAAAAAGAAAGAGAUUAUGAGUUGUUUCCUUCAAAUACUUCAAAAUUUUAUUAGAUAUAUAAUGUGUUCCCUUCACAUUUUAAGUUGCCAAACUUAUUUCAUUUACCACCAAUUUUCAUUUCAAUUUUUUAAAUGUGAGUUCGACGUGGCUCGUGAUUUUUGUCCAGAUUUUUUAAUCUGAUAUUAAAUCUUAAUUCUUGGGACAUCAACUCUAAUGUUGAUUUCUAAUUUCCAUUUAUAACCUAAACAAGAAAAACAACAUAAUUAAAAAGAAGAACAAAUUGCAUGUAUACAUGUACACAACAACUAAUGGCAUCAAUCACGCUUUUUUCUUAGGCUCUCGUGACUUUUCCCAAAAAUCUAGUCGAAUGUUAUUCUCCUAAUACUCCUCCAAAAUUUCUCAAAAUUUUUCGUUUGCAUAACCAACAAAUUUUUUUCCAAAUAACAUGUUUCUUGCAUUACAAACACAUUUUUAAAUAUUUUUUUAUUUUUCGACCAUUUUUUAUUUCACAUAUAUCACAUUUAAAAAAUUAUAAUAAUUAUUUUAAAUAAUACUUUAUCCAAACACACUCAAACAAGGUGUUGUGAAUUUUUAGGCCAAAUUUUGUGGUAGCAACUGCAAACCUCCAAAGCAACUGCAAAAUACUCCACACACAAAACUUCGGUCCUCCCAAUACACCAUGAUAUAGAGUAAGUAACAGCAUGCAAUCUCAUUUUUUUUUCAGAAGAAAAACAACAAUUGACAAGUACAAACAUAGAAUCUUGAGAAUUAUUUGGGGAAACUUUUUCUUUAUCUAUUGUAGUACAAUUUUUUUUUUUUGGUGUGGUGGGAAUUGGGAAAAUGGUUUAGUAAUUUGGUCUGUUGAUUUUAAGAGAAUGAUGAUUUUUUUUUUUAUUGGUACAGAAAUUAAUGUUCGAUAAUUUUCAUGUUCUUGAUUUAUGUGUAAUAGUAUUAUAUCCCUUAAAUAUUUUUUUUAACUUUAAUUACUAAUUCCCCAUCUACAAACAAGCUACAUAAAAGAGCAUGGACUGAAGUGCCAUGAAGAAAAAAAAAAUAUAGGAGUACUUAAUUGUAAUUUACAAUUACAAGCAUUCCAGUGAGGUUUCAGUAUGUUAUAGUAAUUUAUUUCGAUUAAGCCCUCUUUGAGGUUCUUCUUUUAUGGUAUAUUUUUUACUGUGAUAAUUUGUCAAGAAAAAACCAAAAAAAAAAACAAAAAAAAAAAGUAAAUUCCAAAUAGAAAACUAUCAGUCUCACCAAAAACUAAUCCCUUUAGCAACAUAAGUAGUAUAACGCAGAAGAAUUAAUUACACUUAAUCCCCUUUUCUUCUUCUUUUAUGUUUCUAAUCAUCAACAAAAUUAAAAUCCACAAAUCUUUUCCCUUCUAUCAUGUGACAUGAAGAUGGAUGAUAAAAUUGACAUAGAAAUGUACGAGUAAAAGAUGAAUCUGUCGUAUGGUGGAUUUUCAGUAAAUAUGGAAUAUGGAAAACCAAAUCCAAUGCAAACCCCGGAUUUCAUCAAAACUUGAUGGCUGGCUACUACAAUUUCAUCAAAACUUCUCCCUCUCCUUUCUGUACCAAGCAUCUUCGUCUCCAACGUAGAAGAAGCAGUGAAGCUUCUGCUCUUCCUAGCAGGCAGUUUUAUUAUUGGAGAUUUUGUUCUAAACUUUUUGAAGUUUUUGGCCUUCACAACUUUGUCUUUGUUUGUUAUAGCAACAGCAUAUGGUAUCCUCUUCAUGAUCAAAUUAAUACGUGCAUUAGGGGAGACAAUCGAUCAGUUGAGGGACGAGAAGGAUGGGAGAAGGUUGCAACAAUUGAGAAAGUUGAUGAAACAGAAUCCAUUUCAUCUGGUUGGUCCUCAAAUAAAGACCAAUUCUAAAGAAGAUACUUAUUUGUAAUAAGAGAAAGCAAAGAAAACUCUCACAAGAAAAAUUUGCUGGGCUUGUUCGAAAUCUAUCUAUAUUUAAAGAAGCAAUUACUCAGUAGGAGCUAUAUUUAAUCAUUUACGUUGUAAUUCUUCAACUACUGAAGAUUGGAGGCCAAUUUUGGGCAGCUAAAAUAUAGAAGCCUUCAUUCAGUUGGAGAAGUUCCAAAACACGGCAACAACAGUCGAAAUUAAAUAGUCCUACUGGUAAGCUUCUUGAACCUCUCAUACUCAUUUCCUGAAAGAAAAUAUGUCAAUUUCAGAACAUCAUCAUCUCUAAAAUGUGUCUUUGAAUGCAUAAACAUGGCAAGCCCAUAAGCCUUUCUGAGCUGACAUCUGCAUUUCCUAUUCAUCCUUUAAAUCUCCCUACAUUAUUUAUCGCCUGAUGCCAAUACUAAGUUUAGUGUUUAUUUUAGGAGAAAAUGACCUGUUUCAUCCCUCACAUUUCGCAAAAAUAUUCUUUUCGUCCCUCACUUUUAAAAUGAAGCAAAUUCAUCCCUGACAUUUAAAAAUUAAAGCUAUUACAUCCCUAAACCUAAUUUUCAAUUUGAAUCAAACCACCCAAUAACCUAGUAAUAAAUUUUGAAAAUAGAAUUGAUAGAUCAUUCGGUCAAUUUCAUCAUAUUCACAUGACAUUUAUUAAACCAAAAAAAUAAAAAUUAUAACAUAAAAGGUCAUUCUUUAUCUUGGAAUAGUAGCAUUUUUUUUUUGGUAAAUCUUUUCAUGCACCGUUAGUAUGUCUGCUUGCGAAUCUAGAUGUGUAUCAUACAUAUAAAAUUUGGUGUUUAAAUUUAAAUUAAAAUGAUAUGGCAGUACAUAAAACUGUCAGUGUAUACAAUGAUAAUGUAGAAAAGAUUAAUCUUUCUUUUUUAUGUUAUAAUUUUUUAUUUUUAGGUUAAUUAAAUUUCACAUGAAUAUCAAGUUGAGUUAACCAAGUGAUCUACCAAUUAUACCCCCGAAAUUUGUAAUCAGGUUGAUUGGUGGUUUGAUUCAGAUUGAAAUUUGGGUUCAGGGAUGUAAUAAUUUUAGUUUUUAAAUAUCAAGGACGAAAUUGGUUCAUUUUAAAAGUGAGGGACGAAAAGAAUAUUUUUGUGAAAUGUGAAGGAUGAAACCGAUCAUUUUUCCUUAUUUUAGUGUAUUUGAGAUUGUGUGUUCUUAAAGUUGUUUUUGGAGUUAUUUUUGAAAUUUGUUAAUGUAGAUCCCACAAACAAAUAUAGUUUGUGGAAAAAAUAGUAAACCCAAAUAAAGCCUAUAUAAAACAUAAUUCACCAACAAUACACUAGGUAAAAAUUAUUUCGGAUUUUCAAUUUUAACGUGUUUAUCAAACGUGAGAAGACACUGAGUAGUGUGUAUCGACUAGAUUGGAGAUCAUGUGAAAUAUUUACUGUAGCAUGUAUUAUGAUGUGAUACACGUGAGAUAAAAAAGUAGUUGAAAAAUAUGUUUGUGAUGCAAGCAAAUAAUUUUUUGCAAAUAAUGUGAUAUCCAAAAUUUAGAUAGGAGAUAAUUUGAAAAAAAUAUUUAAAAUAAUAUUGUGGCACUUUUGUGGUUUGAUAUAUGUGAAUAAAAAGAUGGUUAAAAAUAUAAAAAUUUAGUUGAAAAAUGUGAUUAUAAUACAAGUCAAAUAAUAUUGGGAAUAAAUGUUUCAUAUCCAAAUAGACCCAGUUGAUCUUGAUUGGGAAAAAAAUGUACAUUUCAGAUGACAAGCUGUAAAUCUAUUUUAAGAACACGUGUAGGGCUUAUAAAAAAAUAUGCUAAGUUGAUAUUAUGUUCAAGUUCAUUUACAUUCUGAACGUGAAUAUAUUUAAUAAAACGCACGAAACCAUUCCGAGACCGUUACACAUUUACACUAGUAAUCAUCCCUAUCUUAUGUCUAUUUUUUACUAUGUAAGUGCACAUAUUCACAUUUACUUUUCCUUGCAUCUAGACUCUUUUUCAAGUUAAUCUCCCUUUUGUUAAAAAAAAUAUAUACUAUUUUAGAUCUGGCACCUGUUAGCUAAACUCUUUUAUCAAUUGAAAGUAUUCAACAUAGCACAGAGAUGAAACCUAUAGAAUUAGGGAUAAUUUCAGAAACCUCCCCUGAGAUUUGAAAAAUUACACUUACCUCCCUUGAUUUGAUAGUUUUAGUAACAAAAUCUUAAAAUAAUACUGAUUUGGUCAAUUUUAUAAAUGAAUACCCAAAAAUGCUCUUGUGUAAUGAGUUUUAAUUUAUUUCCUUAUACAAUUAUAAGAUUACCUAGUAUAAUUAUAAGGAAAAGGGGCCAAAUUUUUUAUGUCCAUACCUAGGAGUGGCAAUGGGGCGGCACCCCGUCCCCACCCCGUUUCCCCCGCGGUCCCCCGCGAGGAAAGAUUAGAAACUUUCAGCUACUAAUUCCAAGCUAAGAUUAGAAACAUGAGUUUACAAUAUACAUGAUCAUACCAGUGUAACAUGAUUUCUUGUCCAGGUAUCAAUGAGUAUCCAGUAACAUAAUGCACACUAAAGCAUGUAACAAGGAAGAAAUAUUACCUGUAACUCACCCCGUCCAAGUGAUGGCUUCAAUAAAUUGGCAAUAUCAAGACCAGAUCCCUUAUUGCCUCGUCCUACUAUCCCAGAACCAAUAAGUGUGUGGACCUCAUCAAUAAAAACAAUGACAUUGCCUGCAAUGCUAUCACAACAAGUUAAACCACAGUAGACGACUUACUUCAAAUGCACCAAAAAGAAAUGGGCACACCUGACUUUUUGAUAUCCUUAAGUAAUGUAGUGGUCACGCGUCCUUCCAGCUCACCUCUCUCCUUUGCGCCUGCAAUUAAUUGAGUAGUGAUUAGAACUAAGGGGAAUGGGAGGCGACGGCGGUGGCUGCGAAGGAGGGAACAAAGGAGGAAGUGAGGGGAAUAAUAAGGGGUUUUGUUACUUUUGUAUAUAUAAACAUAUAUAUAUAUGUGUGUAUAUAUUUUUUUUAUGCGGGGGAUGGGACGAGUGUAUGUUGCCCCAUCCCCCGCCCCGUUUUAAGGCGGGGGUAAAUAUUUUGCCCCAGCCCCAUUUCUACCCCCACGGGUACCCGUCCCCAUUGUCAUCCCUAUCCAUAUCUAUUAUUUGAUAAACAACUAUAAUAUUAAAUUUAUCACCAUUAUAGGAUACUUUUGAUGGUACUUUAUUAUGGAUUUAGAUUUAUAUGAUAGAAAAGAAAAUGUUGAAAUAAUUCAUUUAGAGUUUAUGAAUUUUUCGGGUAGUGGGAUUAUCAUAAUUUGGUAGUGAUUUUGGGCCAUUUCUUUUUGAUUUAUUGUUAAUUUUAGUACCAAAAAAUAGAAAAUAAAGAUCAACAAAAACAUUGAAUUACACAUAAAAUUAACUCUUCAAAAAAAUCAUUAGUUCGACAUUUGAUUACAAUAGAAACUAGAAGCAAUAGCGGCAGUUCUACGGUUUUAUUGAAAAAAAUUUUAAAAAGGAAUAAGAAGGAAAAAGAAUGAAAAAAAAUUUUUUAAACUCAUUCUAAUUAUAAGCAUACCAAAUAAGGGAAUUUCAUUAAAAUAUUUAAGGGUAAAAUUGUCAUUUUAAAUGACAAGGGAGGUAUGUGUAAUUUUUUAAACCUCAAGGGAACUCAGUGAAAUUAUUAGAAACCUCAGGGGAGGUUUUUGAAAUUAUCCCAAAGAAUUAAUACCUCAAAUAUUUCUUAACACAGAGAAAACCUUUUAUGAAUUGAAUGUAUUUAGACGUAGAAAAGAGAUCAGAUCCAUCAAAUGUUUGCAAUUGAAGUCAAAGCAUUAUAAUAAUAAUAACUAUUGAUCUAAAACUAGACGAGGGAUCGAGAAGUUUGUCAUUUCCUUCCGAUUUGAAACAGGAAAUUAAGGACUAUGAGGUGAACUGACGAAGAUUUGUACGUUUAGCAAUUUCAGACUGGAUGUGUCAUAUUGGAUGUGUACGUUUAGCAAUUUCAGACUGAAUGUGUCAUAGGACUAUUGGCAUUGUUUGGAAUGGCAGGAUUUGGAGGGAUUUGCUUUUGUUUUGGGGUAGGGGUCCUAGAGGAAGAAGCGUAAAACGGUCCUAUCUGAUAUUGGGAUUCGGGAAAAGAAUUGAUAAGGUUGCUAAGCAAAGGACCAGGAGUACAAUUUUGCUGCAAAAUGGAAUGUUGUUUUCCAAAAAGACUUCAUUUAAAUUGUGGUGUCAUGGAUCAAAUGUACUUUUGUCACUACUACAUGGGGUCAGAAUGAGUGAAUUUGUAAGUUAAAUUGAGCUAAUUUACUUUCUUCUCUACUAAACUUUUCUCCAAGAAAUGCACAAGAAAGGAUUAAUGGUCAUAGUAGGCUUUGAGUUUUGUGAUUAGAAUUGAAAAAGCAAAGUAGAUUUGACGGUAUAACUAAUAAAUGUGUACUACUUUUGUUGAAUACUUCCAAGUUCACAUUUUUGGCUGAAUCUUUUGUAAAGAUUUGCUGACCAUCUUUUUUUUUUCCAACUUAAUAGCUCCAAAAAAAAAAGAAGCUUUUUUCCAACUUAGUAAUGCUCAUUUGGUACUUCCAAAAAGUUCAUAUGGUAGUGCUGCAUGUUGAUACAUAACGAUUAAUCUUUUUUAUACUUAAUAAUAUAUACAGUAUAUACACUAUCAACGUUGAAAGAAUAACAAUUAUAUAUAAUUUAAAUUUAAAAUUCAACUUUUAUACAUAUGUCAUGGAUCCAAUGGUAAUAAUAUAUGCACUGUUAGUGUAUAUUAGAUUUACUCAACACUACAUAAUAUUGGCCAAACUGUUAUAAGCUACGACACUAAUCAAAGCAAAAUAUCAGCUCCUAAAAUUAAACAUAUAGUUUGAAAGUUAAUAAAUGUGGUGGAGGAAUUCUUUGGAUUGCAGAUUUCUAAAGAAAAAUUGUUAUGUUUUUCGUAAACACAUUUUUCAAUCACUUUUUUGCCUCUUAUAUAUCAAAUCGUUAUAAUAAUUUUUCUAUAAAAAGUCCAAAAAAAUAUAAUCCAAACACAACCGUUGCCAUACCCAUACAAUUGUGACUUGACACAUAAAUGGAAGUCUCAAGCAACCCUAUGAAAUCGAAUCUUAAUUCAAGAACCCACACUGCAUCUAUUGAGACUUGAAAGAUCUUGGCCAUAUCAUGGAACCUGCUGCUCUCGCAAUCUAGUUGCUGGAUUUUUCAUUUGUUUAGUACAUCAAUUGAAAUCGCUUUAUUGGCUACAAGCAGGAAAAUUCUGCUAAGAGAAUAGUGAAUAUACCGCCGUAGCUUUAAAUAAUCUAACAGAACCAGCCACAAAGGAACAAUUGUAAGAUGACUCCAAUUCAAUUCACAAGGACUUGUAAAAAAGUUCCACUGGUUUACUUUGCAGAGCAAAAAAGUUGUGCAAACACAAAUGGAACUACGGUUUGAGUGAAGAAGGCAAAUCAAGAAAGAAAAAAAAAAUUACAUCCCAUUAUAAUUUAGCUUGAAUUCUGUUGUAAAAUAUGUUAAAUGCGUAUCUUCUCCUUUGCAUUCCUUUUUGGCUGAUUUCCAAGUUCAAGGAUUAUAGUACUUUUCUGUGCCUGGAUAUCCCUGUUGCUUCUCAUAUUCUCCCACGGAAUCAAACUCAUACUUGGACUUUUCACCGUUACCGUAGUAACCUUCAGCAUUGCUAUUUUCCUUCACUGAUUCAUACCCAUUUUGAUUCAGAUUCUCAUUGUUAACAUCAUAAUGGUACUUACCAUUCUCCAAGAACCUUGUGUCGCUCAUCCCUUGUUUCUCAUUCCUGUAGCUAUUGCUAUAUCCAUUGUUGUUAUUGUAGACUGAAUUCGAAUAGCCAUUGCUGUUGUAAUUGUUGGAGUAGCCAUUAUUGUUGUAGUUGUUGGAGUAGCCAUUGCUGUUGUAAUUGUUGGAGUAGCCAUUGCUGUUGUACCUGUUGGAGUAGCCAUUAUUGUUGUAGUUGUUGGAGUAGCCAUUGCUGUUGUAAUUGUUGGAGUAGCCAUUGCUGUUGUACCUGUUGGAGUAGCCAUUAUUGUUGUAGUUGUUGGAGUAGCCAUUGCUGUUGUACCUGUUGGAGUAUCCAUUAUUGUUGUAGUUGUUGGAGUAGCCAUUGUUGUUGUAAUUGUUGGGGUAACCAUUGGAGUAUCGAUUCCCGGCAUUGUUUUCCGCGAGCCUUUCGUUGUUGAUUUCCUCAACCGGAAUUUCAUCUUCCUCAUUGCCAAGGGCCGUGGUCGUGGUCUUUUUUGUAGGAGAAACAGUAGAAACACCGCCAUAGAGGCCAUAGGGAUGGUCAGUACUCUCAAUUGGUGCUGGUGCUGGUGCCGGAACUUCUAGAUAUGUGGGUGCAAAGCUAAUCUCACUAGUUAUAGGGGCUGGUGCUGGUGCUGGAGAAAUUGAUGGUGCUAGCACUGGUGCUGCCACUAUAGGGACAUGCUUGCUUACUCUAGCCUCAGUAUGAACAGAGGAAAGAAGGAGAACAAGCAAGAGAAUGGAGACGUUUUUAGCCAAGGGAGCCAUAAUGGAGAAGGACGGGAAAUGGUUGAAUUUGUUGUUUGGCUCUGAAAUUUCAAGAUCCCAAAUGCAUCCUUUUAUAAAUAGACAAAGUGGGGUACUCUUCUCUCUUUUUCAGCCGUGAUGAUUUGCGGGGAUUGAGGGAUGCGAAGAAUCUGGGCAUAAGAAAUUAUAGCUUUUGGGACAUGCUGCAUGUGGAAUCCUUGAGAAUGUCUUUCACAAUUGAGGCGCCUAAUCUUCGGCCACGAAAAAAGUGUCAUUAAUUAGUCAAAAGCUGGCAUUUUCUCAUGGGAUGCUUAAAGAGAAAGUGAUGUUGCUCAAGCUUGCAACAUCAUAAAAUAAAGAGGAGGGCCCCUGCCGCCAAUUUUGCAGUUGAGUUAGUUGAAAGGGCUUAUAGCCUGACCAUAUUUUAAGGGGAAAUUCUUCUAUAUGUGCCAUUGAGCAUAUAGUAGUCAUGCACCGGAAGACUUUUAAGAUUCUUGAUCAUCUAAUCCAGCAAGAACAGGCGGAGGAGAUACAGGUUGUAUAGCUGGAUAGAAACACAUCAGAUGGCUCCAUAAAACCUUUCGACAACAUUGCAUGGUUGUCCACUAUUUCAAAAUGCAGUAUGUGGUGGUUUUCAGUUCAGUAGAGAAACUGGAGCCAUCACGAGGAAAGACCUGCAUUAGCUGGUAGGGGGAAUUUUGAUGUUAUGAAAAUACAGGGUAUGAUGAAUUCAUGUUUUGGCAGAGAACUAGAGAUAUUACGAGGAAAGACCAGCAUUGGCCGGUGGCGAAAUUUUGAGAUAAUUUUGAUGUUAAGAUUGAUUUACAAGUCUUUCAAGUUUUAUUGUUGACUAAACAUCUCAUCUUCUUUUGAUCAUGUCCUCGUUUCGUUAAGAAGGGAUGACAGAACGAUUUUUUCCCCGUUCGAACUCUUUUUAAGGACCAAGUGCAACAAACUUAAGUUCCUAACAAGCAACGGCGAUUUCACCUACGGUUACAUUCCAUCAAGAAGUUAUACAAAGGCCAAGUAAUUUGCGAAAUCGUCUAAAAGAUUCUAUUUCAAAGAGAAAUAAAUCGAUAAUCGUACACAUUAGAUGUACAAAAACUUUUUCUCUUGAAGGUACAGAAGAACAGUUUAACAAGAGUGCUUUUCUGCUCGUAACUUUGUAAUUAACCCCCCAAAGCUGAGGAAUAAUUUGUGGCAGUCUCCCACUCCCACCUCCGUAAUGAAUCAAAACUUGAUGCAUUGCAAAAACUUGGGAGAAGAGAAGGCAGAUAAAGUGGUCUACCUGAGAUCUACUACUGAUCAUCUCUAUACUCCGGAUUCUCUUUUAAGAUGACAAAACCCUCGAGAAUGGGUGACAGCGGAAUGUAUCUGCACCAAAAUUUGAUAUCAGCACAACCAAAUGUAUGUAUACCAGAAUAAUGAGUUGCAUAGGGAAAAGAAUUUACUUUUCAGUUGCAAGCUCUGCUCUAUCCCCAGCAGAGAGGAGGACGGGGGUUGUGUGCGUCUGGAAACCUGUUAUGGUCUUAGGCCUGCCUGCUUGGCCAACAACAUCUACUGCUUGACCCACUCGGACAGGUACAGGCAAAGCCUUCAGAUUUUCAUCAACCGUCAUCAACAUCCUUGGCUGUCAAUGGCAGAAUAGAGGAAGUAAGAACAUAGGAUCGCUCAAGAAAAGGAAUAAAUAUCACCGUUCAAACAAUCAAUUUUUUUUUUGUUGGGUGGGGAAGGAAGGAACAAUCAGAUAUACGAAAGAGAUUUAAUACCUGCAUGGCUAAAACAAGGAAGUAUAGAAUGUAGUGGUAUUUUCCGAGGAUGACAGCUUUCAUAUCAAGACAUGCAUGUAAUAAAGUCACUAGUCCAGCCAGCGCAGUACUAUAGACAGGAUGCAAAUAAGAAAUUAGAAGACUUCACAAAACUGGAGCAACUAUCUACAUCUGAAAGAGCAAAAGGGGAGUAAUAGACUUACGGAGACAACAAGAACCGUUCCGAGUGAUAUGGGGAGAGUGUCAACAACCCCUUUCCUAAGUGGACAAGACCUUGAGCAAUCCUCACCUGCCAAUGGGCCAAAAGAAUCAUUAGGUUGUCAGGAAUAUGCUAGUCAGCAUGCACUUAUCUAGGAAAUGAAGCAUACACAGAAGAGAAGACUCGGUUCUUUAUAGUAGUAGCUUGACAAAUUGCGAAGCAUGCCAGCUAUUCUAGCAUUGUUGGUUCCUGCACCUAUCAAACCCAGAGAAACGAUAGCAGCCUACAUAGUUCAAAAAAGAGUUCUAAGAUAAGGAAUCAUAUACUGAAGCAAAGAUGAAAACUUCAUAAGAUGAUUGAAAAACAUAACAAGCUUGUCUAAACUACCAUAGCAACUUCAGUGUCAGAAUCAUGACUGAGUCUGCUUAAAGUGUCCAUGACAUUGACCUAUUGACACGAGCCAAAGUCAGCAAGGAAAAUAUAGAUAAAAGGAGGCAUCUGAAAGACAAAGUAGCCUCUUGGUAUCUUGAUAAUUACUAUGACUAGCAUAAGUCAUGAGAUUAAAGUACCUUUGGAUUUGAUAUACAUAGAAGACCCAAAGCUAGAGGAACUGCCUUUCUAAUAUUCUGCUCACCAUACUGUAAAAGAUGCUCUAAGGACCGGAUUGCCAUUUCAAGGCCCAGCUCUUCAGCCAUUGCUACCAUAGCUAUUCCAAGUACAGCGGGACCCUGGAAGGUCUCACCCUUCUCAAGAUGUUGAGCACAUUGACCGAGGAAGUGUUGGACCUAUAUAGCAAGGAUAAAAAUGCCAUUACAUAGUGUAACAAACAACCACUAGCUAACCAUGAAAUUGCAAAUCAGGGAUUUUAGUUCAAAACCUUUAGGACAUUCCCAGUUCCAGCAUAAGCACAAGAAAGCAGUGUCAUGUCACAAUGCUUCCGGAUUUUUUCAUUAAAGGUCUUUGAAACCUCAGCUGUAGCCUCCACACUUUCCUGUUAACAACAAAAAUUUGGAUCCCAAAAACUGUUUAAACAAUAUAGUAGGACUUAUGCAAAUGACCGAUCUCAAUCAAAUGGAACAGCCCUAUAAAGCAGUAGAUAAGACGUGCAUACUAAUAGGUGAUUCAAGAAACUUAUCUAUUUCAAACAAGCUGAAUAUAACAACAAUUUCCUUGCCUGUUUCCCAAGGUAGAGGAGCCCAAGCCCAAGAGGCAAUAGGCGUGUGAGUGGUUCACCUAAUUCUGAUUCGCUUCGGUCCAUCAACGCAAAUAUAAUUGCCUGGGCAAUAUCUUCAUUACAAGAGCCCACAUAUACCAAGCCCAAUGAGAUUGCAGUAAAUGCAAUCACAUCAAGGGAUGCCUUUGCAUCAUUCAGUAUAGGAAUUAGUUUACUCCGGAUCUGCAAGAAGAUACAAAAGAUUCAAAUUCAAGUAGUCAUGUCUUGCCAGCAAAAGAUACAAAUAAGACAGCACAUCCAACUCCACGUACUUUACCAUGGCUGUUAAAAAACAAAAGAAUAGAUUUCCAUCUUGGAAGGUCCCAAUCUAAAAGUCCAUUAAUCCAAUAUAAGAAGACAAAGGAAGCUCACCUGCUCGCUUUGAGCACCUGCAUAUGCAAGUCCUAGGCCCAUUAUAGCACCAAUUCUAGUAGCAGGAUCCUCUCUGUCAACAUAUUCAGCUAGAAGUGCCAAAGCCUGAGAUUAAUAGUUAAUGCAACAUGUUAGAAGCAGCCUUUAAUGAAAGAAUACUCCACACCACCAGGGUAAAGAGGAGGGCAUGGGGUGAAGAAAACUUACAGGAUCGCAGUCAUUCUUGACACCACAAUUUACAAUGCCAACUCCUAACAAUGCACCCGCGAUGACUGGUGUGUCGGUGCUAUGGAAGUACUUGUCAAUUUGAGCCAAUCCAGAAUCAACGUCCCAAAGAAGGAUCAUACCCUAAAAGUCAGGGAAGAAUAACAUUCAUAUUGUAACUGAGUGAUAACCAGAGAAGAGCUAAGAUGAAAGUAAACUGGCAUACCAGACUUGCUGCAGCGCUAGUCUUUCCAUGUUCCUUAUUUUUGUAAAGCCAGUUUGUGGAAGAGCUACCACUUGAAGCUUCAGAUGGUACGGUCAUCAACUUAUCCUGCAUGUGAAAGCAUUGAAAUUUAUUCGACAUAAAUACAAGCAGUUAUCCAUUUUACAUAUUGACAAAGCAUGCUCUUACCUGACCAAAGCCAGCAUUGACGAAUGCAUUUACAAAUGUUGCAGCAAGAUUCUGUCUUGCUGAAUCCAUGCUUGCCCCAGCACUGGCCCGACCAUCAAGUAAAUGAGCCUUGUAAAUGUCUUCAGGAGAUUUUGGCUCCAUGACCUCUAUAUCACGAGCAAGUGUAAGAUAGCCUUCACUUAACUUAGAGUUAUUGAUAAUUUCUUGUAGUCCCUCCCUCUCUUCAUCGUCUGCACACAUCUCUUCAUCAAGCUCAAAAGUUAUGCCCUGCAAUCAAAGCCAACAGAAGCACAUCUAAGGCAAGAACCUUCCACAUAUUUUUUGUACAAAAAUAAUCAAUAUGACACAGCUACUCAGAAUAGUUCAUUAUCUUAAAACAAUCAAUUGCUAAAAAAAUUUCAUCAACCCCAAUAAAAAUGGUCAAUGGGCCAAUGGCAUGAUAUCUCUUGGACAAGCAAGAGAAACCCCCGGUACAGAGACAGGUCAUCCAUUAGACAAUUGAAUAACUUCUCAUACAGAGCCAGAUAUGUUAAAACCAAAAAGCAUCCAAUACACUCAAACUCCAUUGAUGUAACAAUCUUUCACUACAAAAGAAACAUCUUAUGGGCUUACAUGGCGAGCAAGAAUGUAGCAAAAUUGCUUUUUCUGCAGAAGGUCAUGGCAAGUCAUAAAGAUCUGCUUGACAUACUGCAAUGGCAAUGUCAAAACAUAAGAUCAAAAUCAAACCAUAAAGUAAAGAUUAGAACAUUAACCAUAACAAAGAGCAUAAUAUCGUGAUAAGCAAACCUGCAUGUUAUCUAGAUACAAAGCUAUCUGAAGUGCUCGAGGAAAUUCUUCAAAUUUCAUAUAAAUCAUGUAGGCGAUAUCCAAAACUAAGGUGUCAUCCGGUCCAGGAAGGUAUCUGCCAAAAUCAGAUCAACAACGUACCCCAUUUUCAGUUAAGAGGAAAAAAAAAUGGCUUUCUCGUUGGUUGGAUUUCUUGUUUUCCCCUUUCUUUUUUUUUGGGAGAAGGGGAGGGCGGGUUAUACUAGAAUUGCAAAAAAAAGAAAUUCAACUAACAGCUUUUCUAAAUAUACUUACUUAGCUGAACUAUUGAGGUACAAGCAGGUUCUUUUAAAAUUUGUUUUGUCCGUAUGCUCAACCAAGAGAUCAAGGUCUUCAACCUAAAGCAAUUUACAGAGACUUCAGAUAGAAUAUUUCGCUUCACACCCACAAAAGAAAAAAUGUAACCUUAGUUACAACACCUAUAGUAAUAACAUUGAAAGCUAUUAUACCUCCAUCAAGAGAUCCACAGCCUCAGGUUCAGCAUUGUGCUGCAAACACGAGUUAAAUGCAUUAAACAAAUGAACAAAUGCCAAAAUAUAGGUGAUGCUUGCAUAUCACAGAGUUAAAACAGGGAACUGACAGACCAUAUAUCUUUGUAACAAUGUAAUGCAGGUAUCUUACAAAAAUAUAAAUGCUUAAAAACAUCUUACCUGCAUAUGAAAAGCCACAAUCUGCUGAACAAGCUCCAUUAACUCAUCAAAUGGGGCAUCCUCACUCUGAAAUCAUAUGAUAAAUCACGUUAGUUAGGAUCACACGAACUCCUGAACAUAGAUGAUGUAGUAUAAGGUAGGACUUGACUAAAACAGAGACCUUCCUUGCAAUAACUCUUAGAUGACCAAAAAGGAUCCAGGCCAGAGCUACAAGGGAUCGAUGUAUCUUACAUAUCCGAGAGAGAGAGUUUCCGCUCAUACUCUAUAACAGAUGUGAUACCUAAUUACCAUUUCACUAGGAAAGCUGCACCGUAAAUGCUAUUGCUUGCCCUACUUUUACCAUAUUGGCAAAAUUUUUCAAGAACAUAUAAACUUGACCUAUUUACAUGAGACAAUAUGAAAAAGACCACAUUCUUGAACAUAACGUAAGGGACCCCAGAUGCAAAAUGAAAAACUUCAAUUAUGCCAAUUGUCCUAAUGAAUAAACCUGCAUUAAUAAGUCAACUAGAAUAGAAGCUCUAACCUGCCGUUUGGCAUAUUCCUGUGCAAAUGCUAUUGCUUGCCCUACUUUUACCAUAUUGGCAAAAUUUUUCAAGAACGUAUAAACUUGAUCUAUGUACAUGAGACAAUACAAAAAAGACAACAUUCUUGAACAUAAUGUAAGGGACCCCAGAUGCAAAAUGAAAAACUUCAAUUAUGCCAAUUGUCCUAAUGAAUAAACCUGCAUUAAUAAGUCAACUAGAAUAGAAGCUCUAACCUGCCGUUUGGCAUAUUCCUGUGCAAUUUCUCCAGCCAGAUUCCUACAAGAAGUAUAUGAUCAUCCAUUAACCAAAUUACUUUAAAAGAAUUGUAACUACAACAUUCUGUAAGCAACAUCAACUACAGAAAAUCACAAGAAAUCAGCACAAAAUGCAAGAUAAGUAUCUACCAUAAAAGUUCUUUUACUGUUUCUUUUUUCUUUUGCUGGUAUGCAGGGUUGUGAUCAAAAAAUUUGUAAAUAAUACAGGCAUCCUUUUAGUCGUUGAGUCAGUAUAAAACAUCAUGAUCCAGUCUAAUGCUCGAUAGAAGGCUACAUGAAAAGCUUUUCAAAUGAAAAUAUAAAAGUACAGAACCAUUUUACCCUACCUGAAGCAUAUUGUCUGUAUGCUUGCACAUCCAGACAUAAACAAGCACUUAAAUAUUAUUAAAAGCUCAAGACUCAAUCAAUGUAAUUAAAAUACCACCUAAAAAAGAGAGUAACUAAACAAAACAAAGCGAGCAAGGAACCUAUUCAAAACUAAAAUCACAAUUAGAGUUACACAUGAGUCAGAUCUCUCUUCAAUCAUACAGCAGUAGCAAGAGAUGUUUCAGAAGGCCACACAGAAACUAACUUUACUAUAAUGCAUUUGCUAUAACCAAUAAACAGACAUACGUGCUCACCUAACAUACUCAUGUCCCCAUGAACCAAUAUCACCAUCGGAACCCAACAGUCUAUACUUCAGGCUCUCCUGGAACAACAUUAACCAAUUUGUUAUGAUAAUAAAAUGGUUAAAUAAGAAAAAUCUGCAAUCCGUGCAGAUAGACAAAAAGAGACCAACACAAGGAUACCCAUGUGCUCCAUCAGAAAAUACACAGGAUUUAGACAUAUUCCCUUGAUACACAGUAAAAUUCAUUAAAAAGGCACAAGUCAAAGGUAUGGAUGGUCUGCCCAUGGAUUGUAAAGAAACAAAACAUACCCUUUCUCCUUCAGCAGACAUUGUCAAGGCUAAAACAGAAAGGAUAUCUGCUAAAAGUUUCUGGAAGAGGAAAAGAUGUAAAUGAAAUGAGUUAGUUUUGCAAGGAUAAAAACUAACACAAUUUCCCCGCUAAAAGCAUAAUACCCACCUUCAAAUCUGAAUCCACCAUGCUUUCAUAAUAUGCUUUUAAUGUUCCAUAAUGAGGACGCAAGAACUUUAGUGGCUUUGGGACUGAUGUCAUAGAGCUUGUUGCAUUCCGAAUUUCUUGCCUACCAUGAAUAGAAAUGUAUAACUUGGUUAGAAAACGCUAGACAGCUCAAUCACCAGAAGGAAGGUUAUCUGCAUCAACAGGCUAACAGCUGGAAAAUUCAGCAACCCAGAAAAGUCCACUCGAGUUAGCAGGAUAAGAAAUAAAGUUCAGGCAUUUCAAGCAAUCAACGAGACAAUCUGCAAUAGGCGACCCUUUACCAUUAGUUGUGCAAAAAUUCAAAAAACCCUGAGUUUCAUCCAUCCUGACAAUACUACCAAUGCACCAAUCUUUGAUAGGUUCGAAUUUCAGGAAAAAGGCACUAAGAAGCACUAUGCAUCCACAAGAAUACAAGUAAGCUAGGGAAAAAAACUAUUGUUAUGAAACAAAUAUCAUUGUGCAUACAGAAAACCUACAUAAACCCGUGUACCUCAUGCUCUCGAGGGCAACUUUCUGCAACCCCGGGUCUGAAUCCUGUACCCUCUCCACAUACAACUCUAGCUGCAGCUUCAGUGCCAAAUCUUCCUCGGACUUGAUGAAUCAAAAGCAUAAACAGAUAAGCAUAUGCACCAAUAAAAGCCAUCCAAUUAUAAAAACUCUCUUCAGAGAGCACAAUGCUCCCAUCGUUUGCACAAGCUUUUCACCAAUAACGGCAAAGCAAGCUGAAUCUAAAUGCCACGAAACAAUUAAUACUACUCACUUAUCCAAAAAAAUAAAUAAACAAAUUAAACCACCCAUAAACGUAUCGCACUUGAAAAAGAUUACAAGAAUCACUCAAUAUCAAGCUCAGCAUACUUACUAUCCCCCAUUUUGAGUUUAAAAAUAAAAAUAAAAAGACUCGUAAUUUUUCAAUAAACCGCAAAAAUAAACUUUGUCCGAUAACUGGACAUCAUAAUUCCUAGUUCAAACAAUUCAGCACUAAUUAUACAAAUUACUCACAAGAUCUUCGUCUUUCUUGUCAUCCUUCUUCUUCAAGUCUUUUGAAGGAACCUUGAGUGACGCUUCAUCCUUAGUGGCGCCGGCGCUGCUGCCGCCGGUACUAUUCGGAUCUUGAGCCGGAGCCAUAGAUUAUCCGGUUCAGUAAAACCCUAGAACAAUUUUAUUAAUUCUCAACAAAUAAAUACAAUCUUCUGGCGAAAAUUUUCUCUUUAUUUUGAAGAACAAAGAAGUUAAACCCGGAAUAUUAUAAGUAGAGCGGAGUUUUUGGGAAUUAGUAGAUUUCCUUUUCUACAAGCAAAGUCUAAUCAUCUUUUCUCUCAUGUUUUUUUUUUUAAUUUUAAAAGCCCGGUUUUUACAAAGCUGUUUGUGGAAUCUGUGAUUUUGAGUGGCCCAGUACCGUAUUGGAUUAGGCUGCGACUAAUCGAACAUCUGGGUUUCUGGCCCAUGUACAAAAAGUUAACGGACGAAAUUCUGGGCCUCUGGAUGACCUCAGAUUUCAACAUUUUUUAUGUGCCUGAUGGCCUCGUCAUAAUUUAUGGAAGUAAGUUUAGUGUUUAUUUUAUUUUAUUUUAUUUUAGUGUAUUCGAGAUUGUGUGUUCUUAAAGUUGUUUUUGGAGUUAUUUUUUUGAAUUUGUUAAUGUAGAUCCCAUGACCAAAAAUAGUUUGUGGAAAAAAAAUUAAAUCCAAAUAAUGCCUAUAUAAAAUAUAAUUCACCAACAAUACACUGGAUAAAAAUUAUUUCGAACUUUCAAUUUUAACAUAUUUAUCAAACGUGAGAAGAUACGGAGUGUGUAUCUACUAGAUUGGAGAUCAUGUGAAAUAUGUAGUGUAGCAUUUAUUAUACUGUGAUACACGCAAGAUAAAAAAGGUAGUUUGGAAGAUUAAAAAGUUGGUUGAAAAAUGUGUUUGUACUGUAAGCAAAUUUUUUUAUUUUUUUUUUUUGUAAAUAAUGUGAUAUCCAAAGUUUAGAUAGGAGAUCAUUUGAAAAAAAAAAUUAUUUAAAAUAAUACUGUGACACUUUUUGUGAUUCGAUAUAUGUGAAUAAAAAGAUAGCUGAAUAUAUAAAAAAUUAGUUGAAAAAUGUGUUUAUGAUACAAGUCAAAUAAUAUUGGAAAUAAAUGUUCAUAUCCAAACAGACCCAGUCGAUCCUGAUUGGGAAAAAAAAUGUACAUUUCAUAUGACAAGCCUUAAAUCUAUUUUAACAACACGUGUAGGGCUUAUAAAAAAAUAUACUAAGUUGAUAUUAUGUUCAAGUUGAUUUACAUUCUGAACGUGAAUAUAUUUUGUUAAAAUGCACGAAAUCAUUCCCAGACCAUUACACUAGUAAUCAUCCCUGUCUUAUGUCUAUUUUUUACUACAUAAAAGCACAUAUUCACAUUUACUUUUCCUUGCAUCUAGACUCUUUUUCAAGUUAAUCUCCCUUUUGUUAAAAAAAAAAACUAUUUUAGAUCGGGCACCUAUUAUUAUUUUUUUCUUUUUUUUUUCGAUUGGGAGGUAUCCUGGUCAAUUGACCAAACUAAUCCCCCCAGGCUGGAAGAGCCCGCCCUUGCUCCUGAAGAGGAGGCUAAACUCUUUUAUCAAUUGAAAGUAUUCAGACAUAGCACUGAGAUUAAACCCAAAGAAUUAACACCUCAAAUAUUUCUUAACACGGAGAAAACCUUUUUAUUAAUUGAAUGUAUUUAGACAUAGAAAAGAGAUCAGAUCCAUCAAAAGUUUGCAAUUGAAGUCAAAGCAUUAUAAUAAGAAUAACUAUUAAUCUAAAACUAGACGGGGGAUCGAUAAGUUUGUUAUUUCCUUCCGGUUUGUAACAGGAAAUUAAGGACUAUGAGGUGAACUGAUAAAGAUUUGUACGUUUAGCUGUUUCAUACUUAGACAUGUCAUAGGAAUAUUUUGCCAUAUCCAUACAAUUGUGACUUGACACAUAAAUGGAGGUCUCAAGCAGCCCUAUGAAAUCGAAUCUUAAUUCAAGAACCCACCGCAUAUAUUGAGACUUGAAAGAUCUUGGCCAUAUCAUGGAACCUGCUGCUGUCACAAUCUAGUUGCUGCAUUUUUCAUUUGUUUAGUACAUUAAUUGAAAUCGAUUUAUUGGCUACAAGCAGGAAAAUUCUGCUAAGAGAAUAGUGAAUAUACCGCCAUAGCUUUAAAUAAUCUAAUUGAACCAGCCACAAAGGAACAAUUGCAAGAUGGAGCUGAUGUCCACCGUCCACUCCAAUUCAAUUCACAAGGACUUGUAAAAAAGUUCCACUGGUUUACUUUGCAGAGCAAAACAGUUGUGCAAACACAAAUGGAAAAAGCAAAUCAAGAAGGAAAAAAAAAAUUACAUCCCAUUAUAAUUUAGCUUGAAUUCUGUUGUAAAAUAUGUUAAAUGCGUAUCUUCUCCUUUGCAUUCCUUUUUGGCUGAUUUCCAAGUUCAAGGAUUAUAGUACUUUUCUGUGCCUGGAUUAUAUCCCUGUUGCUUCUCAUAUUCUUCCAUGGAAUCAAACUCAUACUUGGACUUUUCACCGUUACCGUAGUAACCUUCAGCAUUGCUAUUUUCCUUCACUGAUUCAUACCCAUUUUGAUUCAGAUUCUCAUUGUUAACACCAUAAUAGUACUUACCAUUAUCCAAGAACCCUGUGUCACUCAUUCCUUGUUUCUCAUUCCUGUAGCUAUUGCUAUAUCCAUUGUUGUUAUUGUAGACUGAAUUCAAAUAGCCAUUGUUGUUGUAAUUGUUGGAGUAUCCAUUAUUGUUGUAGUUGUUGGAGUAGCCAUUGUUGUUGUAAUUGUUGGGGUAACCAUUGGAGUAUUGAUUCCUGGCAUUGUUUUUUGCAAGCCUUUCACUGUCGAUUUCCUCAACCAGAAUUUCAUCUUCCUCAUUGCCAAGGGUGGUGGCCGUGGUUGCGGUCAUGGUCUUUUUUGUAGGCGAAACAGUAGAAACACCGCCAUAAAGGCCAUAGGGAUAGUCAGUACUCUCAAUUGGUGCUGGUGCUGGAGAAAUUGAUGGUGCUUGUACUGGUGCUUCCAUUAUAGGGACAUGCUUGCUUACUCUAGCCUCAGCAUGAACAGAGGAAAGAAGGAGAACAAGAAAGAGAAUGGAGACAUUUUUAGCCAGGGGAGCCAUAAUGGAUAGAUGGGAAAUGGUUGAAUUUGUUGUUUGGCUCUGAAAUUUCAAGAUCCCAAAUGCAUCCUUUUAUAAAUAGACAAAGUGCGGUAUUCUUCCCUCCUUUUGGGCCGUCGAAUGUGAGGAAUAUGGGAUAGCUUUUGGGACAUGCUGCAUGUGGGAUCCUUGAGAAUAUCUUUCACAAUUGAGGCACCUAAUCUUUGGCCAGGAAAAAAGUGUCAUUAAUUAGUCAAAAGCUGGCAUUUUCUCAUGGGAUGCUUAAAGAGAAAGUGAUCUUGCUCAAGCUUGCAACAUCAUAAAAUAAAGAAAAUGGCCCCUGUAGCCUAUUUUGCAGUUGAGUUAGUUGAAAGGGCUUAUAGCCUUGUACCAUAUGAAAUAUGCUUAUAUUAGCUUCCUUUUUCUAGAGAAAAUUCCCCUGAAGCUACAAGACCUGAGAAGUAGCAAAUCAAUACAUUAAUUUUCACAUGCACUUCCGGUGGCUCCAUAAAUUGGUCUGUUUAAGGGUGACUAUCCAGUAAUCUACCACAUGAGAAGCCAAAGAAAAUGGGACAUGGCUAAUGCACGAGAACGACUAGAGAUAAUGACCAAAUUCAUCAUAUGCAAAUGCAACUGUAAAAGGUGAAAGUAUUCUCCAUCACCAUGAAGGGCAAUAUAACAUUUUUACUGCAUUGGUAUCACCAACUCUUUGGAUUUAAUCUGAUAGUUGCUGCACUCAUGAAAGUCUCAUUUCCUUCUUUAUUAUUGGCAGAGGGAAAUAUUUUUCUUUCUCGAAAAACUAUGCUGUAAUAAUAGUAGUGAUCUUUCAGUUAUCAUUUGAUUUUGAUUUUUUUGGGGUAAGAAUUUAUAUUGCUUGGUAAAUUUAGUAGUUGUAAUUAAAUUUAGGUAAAUCUUAUGUACAUUGACAAUUUAUAUAUUAUCAUAGUUGGAUGCAUGACACAUGAGCAAAUUUUGAAUUGCAAAUUUAAAUUUAAAUGAGUUGCCGUACAUGCAGUAGUGAUAGUUAUACACUGUCAAUGUAUAAAAGAUUAAUCCAUAAAGUUUUGGUGACAGAAAUACUUACAAUUUUUUCGAGAAUCAUUUGGUUAAAGACACCACUUGAAACUUUUUGUUUGUAAAGGCGAAGAAAGGACCAUGGAGAUCUUUGGACAAAAGCAAAUUGGUUUUAGUAAGUACGUUAAUACAUGAAUUUUCUUCUCGCUAAAAUUAGCUCAGAUUGUAGUUUCUAUCUCAAUUUAGCAUUUCUCUUAUCCUUCAUGUUCGAUUAAAACACACAUGCUCAUUUUUGCUUCUUUAACAAGAUCGAAGCCAAGUUUGGAGUCAGAUUCAAUUUCUAAAUUCAUAUUUUAUUUUUAUUAAUAUGUCAAUGACUUCAAUUUUCAAAAACAAUAAAAACAAAUGAAAACAAAGUGUGUGAAAAGAUAAUUAAAUCCCAUGUUUUUUGGGCAAUUGCUGGGCCCAAUACGACACAAAAUCAGGAAGACCAAUUCUUAAUGUUCGUACCCAAAGUCCAUCUGGUUUUCAACGAACCAAAAGAACGGAAAUUGCGCUAUUAAAUAUUCUUCGGGAGCUCCCGCGAUGGUCGGAGUUGAUUUGUGAAGUGGGUGUGCACUCUGGACUCUGGAGUCAAAUCUACAAUUUAAUUAAAGUGUAUGGGCUUCCUUCCUGGAAUGGGCCGCUAUCCAUGCAGAAUUUGGAUAUUACAGGUUCUACAAGAAUCAAGAUUGUAAUCAUGUAAAUAAAAUUUACUCCCUCCGUCUCAAUUUGAUAAUCCUGAUUUUGUUUUCACACAAUUUAAGAAAAAAUAGUUAACUUUAUUGGGACAAUCAAUUUAGGUAACUAUUUUUCUAAAAUACCCUCACAUUAAUUAGAAUACAACUUUAUGGGAACUUGAAUUGAUUGUAAAAAAAGAAUCAACUCUCAUUAAAUAGGGUAGGUUUAUAGUCACAAUAACUUACAUUGAAUAAGAGUAUUUUAGAAAAAUUAAAAUACAACUGCAUUUUUCAAUUGGAAAGUGGACUACAAUUUGAGACAGAUAAAAAAGGAAAACAGGACUAUCAAAGUCGGACAGGAGGGAGUAUCUUCGAACUUACCCAAAAGUUAAGAAAAUACAUAUUUUUGGAGCAAAUUAUCCGGUUGGUCACUAAACUUUUGCGAUCGUCGAAUUUUGGUCACUCAACUAUUAAAAGUCUGGUUUUAGUCACUAAACUAUAUAAAGUUAAAACAUGAGGCCAUUCUGUUACAUUUGGCCGUUAAGUUCGCAGAUCUGUCUAUCCGCGCGAUUUCAAAGAUAAAAGACGGGGUUAAUUUAGGAAGUUCAAAUGAAUUAAAAGCUGAUGAGCAAAGCGGGGACAUAAAUAUAACUGGAACAAAGCAUAAAAUACGCAGUCAAAUUGGGAGUUGAAGAAGCAAAUAGUACAGAUUACGAGGGCCUCCAAAUCUAAUGCUCGAUCGAAGCUUUUCUCUUCAUCCCCUUCAAUCACCUCAACCACCUUCUCAAGUCGCCAGUCGAAGAAGGUGAAAUCUCCCCUGCCGUGAGACUCUUGGUGUAGCAAGGAGAUUCACCCGAAAUUUGAAUUUUAACCGAUUGCACCGAACCCAGCUAGAAACAGAUCUGCAAUUGCUUUUGGACUAUAUGGUGAGUUUGAUCACGUCAGAGGAGAAGGUGGAAACCUUGAUGUCUUGCGCCAGAAAGAUUGAUUCCCAUUUCUGACUUCUGUAUGUGUGAUUUCUUGAUGGUUAAAAGGCUUUUGCAUAUUUUCCUAGCGAGUGAUAGCGGGAAAAAUAAGCUACUUGUAAUUACCCGACCUUCUGUGUAAUUUGGGCAAAAGUGUAUAUUAAGCUGAACGUGUUCUGCCCACUUGAACUGAGUAUACUGUACACCGCUGGUAAGGGGCACCCCGCACAGGGUACAGGUGAACAAAGUUGAUAGCAUGCGCCCAAUUAUGGGUGAAAAGAUGAACAAAUUAUUCAGAGUUAGCCCAAAUUCCAUUGAUCAAUACUACCUUAUAAUCAACUUGAUACCAUAUUCAAUUGUAUGAAUUUUUUGACUUCAUAUUCAAGGUGAAUUCUAUAAAUAGAAUUCCAAAAUUUCCCCUAUGGAAAAAUCAAUUCUUAAUUAAGUUAGACUUCAGUCUGCACCCAAGUGCCAUUCCAGACCCUAUUAGUCUUCAUGGGGGUUGCUGGGUGAUUGAAGGUGAGAAAUGGUCGGCAACAAAGUGGAUUCAUGUAGACAACUUCGACAAGAUUUUGGGAUCCACUGAUAAUUGCGCCCCUUCAAUCACCUCAACCACCUUCUCAAGUUGCCAGUCGAAGAAGGUGAAAUCUCCCCUGCUAUCAGACUCUUGGUGUAGCAAGAUGAAUAACCCCAGAUGCACUCCACAAGCAUUUUUAAAGCUUGGGCUUCUCAUAUAAUCUCCGUAGCCCGUGCCUGCACCAUAUGGGUCUGGGACAGGGAACAACAAUCUCUUCUUUAGCAGAUUCUGUUGCGGCCAUGUAAUUAGGCACCGCACUGGUCAUGCCUCUGGAUUGUUGGUGCAAGCCACCACCGCUGUACUGGUGGUAAUUAGACCUUGGUGUUGGGGUUUGAGCUGUAUGACCGCAUCUUUCUUCCACUGCAGCAUAUCUAGGACUGGCGGAGCAGACUUGGAGAGGCCUUGUUUUGGACGGAGAAGGUGUGACAGGAGAGUGGAGAGAUAGAGCUUGUUGGGUCGACCUAUGAAGAGGGGAACAAGAGGUACAAGUGGAUGUUGAACUUCCUAUAUUAACCUUGCCUUUUAUCUUGGAAAUCGCACAGACAGACAUAUCUGUGAACUUAACAGCCAAAUGUAACAGAAUGGGCUCGCAUUUUAAUUUUAUACAUUUUAGUGGCUAAAACCAGACUUUUAAUAGUUGAGUGACCAAAACUCGACGAUCGUAAAAGUUUAGUGGCCAACCGGAUAAUUUGCUCCAUAUUUUUGUGUGUUAAUCCUAUGGUAGAUAUGUCUCAUAGCAUACCAAGAAAUGCCAUGCGAUAGUGUUUUUGUCGUGUAAUGCACUUUAAAGUUUCACAACUCUUUCAAACGCCCUCCGAGAGACGGAGAGAGGGCACAAGUCCCUAUUUCCAUGAGUGAAGAACAUCUGACUUCGUCUAUUCUCACUCAAGAAUCUAAUAACACUAAUUAGAAAGUAAAAUUCACAUGUGAUAUUAGGCUCAUAAAUACUAAGAAUUGUUUAUUCUGUAUUGAUUUGAAAGAGAAAGAAUGAGUGCUUAAUAUACAAAUAAGACUCGAAAACUGCUAGUUUAAACUUUUAAGUCAAAAUUACACUCUUUAACUUAUGUUGGACUUGUUUGAUGAGCUCUCUCACAUUUUUCUCUUCACUAGUGUCAUCAGAGUUUUUUAGUUACGAAUCUAGAUUACUUAUCUUCUUGGCAUUAGUUUGAUGAAUUGGUCUCUUCUUGGUAUUUAUUGGAGUACUUCUAGUUAAGAGUCUAGACUACUUAUUGAUAAAUGGUUUCUUCUUGAUGAGGUGAAUUGUUCUCUUAUUGGUAUUGAACUAAGAUGCCAAAUGUUUGGUGGGAGAUCCUAUUGAUGUUGGACUAAGAAGUUAGGGGCUUCUUGAUGUUAGACUAAGAAAUUAAGGGCUUGGCAGGAGUUUGAUAUCCAAUUUGGAUGUUAAAAAAGAGGGGGUUUAUGACUAUGAGUUUGAGAAGUAAUCUUGAAUGUCAAGGAAGAGUUUGUGAAUUUUGGUUCAAGGUAAUGGACUAUUCAUGAAGAGAGAAAUUGUUAGCUUCGUGAUAAGGAUAAUUUGUCUCACAUUGUUUUGAAAGAGUAACACAAAAUGCUUAGUACAUAUGUAAGGGAUUGAGACUUAUUCAUUUAAAUAUUUGAGUUAAAAUUGAGCCUCUUUGCGAGCACUCUUAGGUUUUUUCUCUCCAAUAUAUAGUUACUGAAUUAUUAUUUUUUGAAAAAAUGUAUACCGCCUACAUUUGCAUCCUAAAUGAUCAUACCUCAAAUUUCAACAAAAGAACAUUUGUUUCCCUAAAAAAGAUGUCUCGUUUGAAAAAACACGAACGUUGAAAAUUAGUUCUCAUUAAAUUCCUGCAAAAUAAAAUUUUUCUUAUGAAUAAUUGAAGUUUGUUUCUAAUUUGUAACCUAUUGGCUCCAACACCAACUACAUAACCACACAACCAAGUGAUUAGAGAAAAAAAAAUCCUUGAUCUCCUCCUCAAUUAACAAAUCAAACGACAAAUUCCAGCUUAAUCAUUUAAAAAAACAAAAGAAAAAAAAGAAUACACCAGUAUAUUCCAGAUAACCAUUAAAAGCAUUCAAGAAUCUAAAUCUACUAGUGUGAAUACCUGUGCUACGCACGGUGCUGACAUUAUUAAAAAAAAUAAAAAUAAAAUGGUGAACAAAUAAAGGUGAAAAAAUUGAACCAACAAAAUUAAAAUGUAAUAUCUGAUUAACAAUAGUUUGAAAUAUAAUAGAAUGUGUAUAUCAUUCAAGAACUGUCUUUUUUCGGAAGAUGGAUCCUGAAAAAAAAAUAAAAAUUUAUAUUAAAAAAGGGAAUGAUAUAUUUCUACAAAUGAAUGUAAUUGAAUGUAGUUAAAAUGAAAUACUUACAAAGACUAAGCAUUCGAUUCUAUAAUUUUGUUUGAAGGUGCGAACACUCUUCACACCAAUCCACUUUUAGUAAGAAAGCCAAAAUUGGUGAUUUAAUUAACUCUGUUGAAUUUUGUGGAAUGCGUACUACAAAUGAAAAUGCACAAUCUUUGCAUGAAUUAAUUCGUUGGCUGAACAACCUAUCACCAUUUUCCUGAUAAUUAAGAACGUACGAAAUUAGUGUAUUUUUUUACAUAGUUUAUAAAUAGUAUUAUAAAAAAUAAAUAUAUAUUAAGAAAUUCUACAUUCCUUUGUAAUUUUCUGAGAUAAAAAGUAUCAUAAUCAAAUACAAAUCGUGCAUGUCUGUCUUGUAGAUUAAGAUGCAUGUUACCACUGAAAUGUCUUAUUUAUAUGUUAACAUUGCACCUGUUUGACAAAUAAAAUACUAUAUGUAAUACAGAAAAAUAUAUUGAAAUUAAAUAUACAUGAAAUUAAUUACCUAAUAACAGUGUCAACAAUGUCAUUACAGUGCAUACACACUGUCUUUGAAAAAUGACCGUCACAUAGUUGUCCACAAUUUUUGCAUAAUUCGUAGAACAUAUUUUCUAUGUUAAUGCUCGGAAUGUAAGCAAAUAUUCGAAAAUAUUUAACCUAAUAAGAAUGAAAUAAGAUAUAGGUUAUGAUUAUAACUUAAAAAAAUUCGUUCAGUAAUUAAUUAAAAUUGAGUAAGCUUAUCGUAGGCAUGAUUAUAUAUUCAAAUAUCCAUAUUCUCUUUGAAUUUGCUAGAGCGAAUUGCGCGAAAUGUCACUAAACUAUUUCAAAGUGCCGGUUUUGGUCACUAAACUUUUUUAUUAGCGUGAAAUGUCACUGAACUAGUAAAUCUGUACCGUUUUGGUCACUCCGUGUAUUUGUGCCGUCAGGAGAGACGGAAAUCAACUUUUUGAGGGGCAAAUUCGUCUGCACAGUCUUUUCCUUGAAACUCUCCACCAUAAAUCUGAAUCAAAUGUCAGACAACUCGUAAGUUCAAUUAGGAAGUGCAAACCCUUAUCCUGUAAUAGAUUUCUUCUGCAAAUAUGGAGUAGGAGGGACAAUAUACGAAGUUGCAAUUUGCUGGGAAUGUGUUGAAGCUUCAUUGGAGGAAUACCUAAGAAAAGAACUCCGACUUGCAAUUUGCUGGGAAUGUGUUGAAGCUUCAUGAGAGGAAAAGGCAAGGAAACAACUCCGACCUGCUCUUGUGGCAGUAAAACCAAUUUGAAGACUUCAUGGACUGAUAGGAACCCGGCAAGGAGAUAUGUUGAAUGUGCUAAUGGCAAGGUAAGUGUGUGAAGAUAUAGGAAAUUCGUUAAAUUAGGUUAAUGUUUAAUUGUUUAGACAUUUAUCGGCUAAAAAGAAUUUGGAUAAUUUUUUUGUAGGUUGAUGGCUGUGGUUAUUGGAAUUGGUAUGAUGAAGAAAUGUGUGAGCGUUCGAAACAAGUCAUACCCGGUCUUUUAAGAAGAAUAAAUAGGGUGGAAACCGAGAAUGAAACUUUGCGGCAACAAAUUCUCAAGUUGCAAAAGAAAGCUGAGAAAAUGGAGGAUAAAGUAAAAAAUCUGAAGGAGAAGCUUGGAAGAAAGAAAGUGAAAAAAAUGGUCAUUGUUCUUUUUGUUAUGGCCUGGACAAUUGUCAAUGCAUCAAUGUGGAUUUGGGGGCCUAACAAGGGACAGAAGUUUGGAAGGCUGCAAAUUGAUGGCUACUAGAGUAUUGUUGUACUUCAAAUCCUAAACCAGUGUUGCUCAAUGUUUUAAUACACAGCUCGUUUUUGUUGAGAUUGUAGUGUUUUUAUUACACCUCAUUUUGGUUGGUGUUGUUUACACCAUGGAUGUUUGAAAUUGUAAUUUAUGAAUAAAAGACUGAAGUAUUAGUUCCAACAUAUGGGUGGUGCAAAAGAAAAGUAGCUCACAAAUGCAGAAAACAUAAAGCCAAAUACAACAAAAGAGAUAAUUAUCAUUAUCAUUCCAAACAGCUGCUUUACAAAAGAGAUAAUUGUCACUGUCAUUCCAAACAACUGCCAACAAAGUUAGCCAUGUUUCACAUAUAAAUAAUCUGGAAUUGUCCUAGACAUAGAAUACAUCCAAACAAAAGCUAUGCAAACAAGUCCUUUAAUCUGAUCUUCCACUUCUACUUCUACUGCUCCUUGAUGUUCCAGCCCAUCUACCAAUCUUGAAUGGAGGCUCUUUGCCCAAGUACUCAUAGUUGGUGUUGAUCCUUAUCUUGUCAAUUUCAGACAGCUUUCUCUUUGAAUGGAGAGACUGUUUGUUGGCCGCUGUAGUAGACUGGUCGGUAUCAUUGACAGGCCUAACUCUCCUCACCUGUACACAAGUACAAUAAAUAUUAACAAUAGCUAUUUACCAUAGUAAAAUUAAAAAUAAAAUUAGAAAUAAAUUUUUGCACCUACAGGUGUCUUAGUCUUUCUAAUCUGCUGCUUUUUCGUACUACUACUGGUAGCUUGUGCAUUACGUUCAGCAUGUGAACCAAUGUCAUUAUGGGAAGUAGUUUGCUCUUCAGCUCCAUGUGGCUGAGAAUUGACACAACUUGAAGAAUAUCCUUGAACUUCCACAUGAGCAAAAUCAGGCUCCUGAGAAUUAGCUCCAUGUGUUGUGCUUGAGCCAUUGUUGGUGCCCUUUGACUUUCUAGCAUGUUUAGGAGUUGGAGCAGGUUGACUGCAGCCUUCACCUCCAUUAUUUUCUGGAACACUUUUGCAGGUAGCAGCAUUGUGGCCUGCCUGACCACAUCUUCUACAGUGCAUGAUCACAUGCUUUUUUAAUUUUUGCACAUUAUUCGUUCCCACAUGAACACCACUUUUAUUUUCAGAACUACCUUUUCUUCUUGCUUUCUUGGGCCUACCAGGUUGGACACAUGCAAGUGGAGGAUCUAAUAUGGGAAUAUCACUCUGAGGCCAUAGAGACUUUCCACUAAUUGGAUAUAGUACAUUCUCAUAUAUUUGAAAGAAUAGAUAUCUACUAUAACACUGAUCGGCAUAGUCAUUUGGGUUCCUACCAAUUUUUAAAAUGGCAGAAAUUGCAUGGCAGCAGGGGAGCCCACUAAUUUGCCACAACCUGCAUGUACAGGUUCUGUCUCUUAAGUACACAGCAAAUUGUUCCCCCUUAGGUCCCCUAACCUGAUAUCCCCCCUUCCCAUUUGAUAUUGGCUUCCACUUUCUAGAAAACUUUUCCCUCUCCUCAAUCAAAGCCUUUAUUGCUGGUCCCACAGGACCACUACAUUUUCUCAUCCAACACACUCUAUUUGAUAUCCUUUCCAUCACGAAUUCUCUAAUCCACUUAACCAUCCCAAUCACUGGCAACUCUCUAGCAUUUAAUAUAUGAGAAUUAAAUGUCUCUGAUAAAUUAUUAACCAGCAUGUCAGAUUUCACGUGAAGUGGAAAAAAAGCCUUACACCAGUGAUGAGGUGGUGCAGCUCUCUUGACCCACGCGUGAGCUUGCUGGUCAUAUGCUCUAAGCUCUUCCAAAGCUGCCUCAUAGAACUCUACUGUUGAUGCUGCUGCAAUGCUCCAGAAUUUUUCUUUAAGCACUUCACCAGGGUGCUUUUUCUUGAAAUUUCUGUACAUAUGUUGUACACAAUAUCUAUGGCCAGCUUCUGGUAAUAACUCCAGCAGUGCACUAUCAAGACCCUAUAAAAGAGUUCUAAGUUUAGUCACUUGCAAAAAUUAUCCUAUACAAUACAUGCUAUAAGGAUAAAGAACAGUACUCCUAACCUUCUGUUGGUCUGAAAUAAAAGUGUAUUCACUGCUAGUUGCUGGUAUUUCUAGAUCACCAAUCAGUAAACUCAAAAACCAAAGCCAUUGUUCCCGAGCCUCCUUCUCAACAACUGCCCAAGCUAAUGGCCACCAACCAUUAUUUGGAUCUGCCCCAAUAGCAAUCAACAACUGCCCUGGAUAUGCCCCCUUAGUGUGACAGCCAUCAAGAGCAAUAAGGGGCCUACAUCCCUCUCUAAAUCCCUUUUUCAUUAGUCCCAAACAGCAGUAAAAUCUCAUGAAUCUGGGAUUACUUUCAGGAUCAGCUCUUGGUGAAUACUUGAUGUCUAUGGUGGUGUCAGGGUGAGUUUUUUGUAGUUCUGCUGCAUACCUCCCAACAUCAAUAUACUGCUGAGAUGCUGACCCUUUGAUAGCAGCCUUAGCCAUUGCAAGUGCUUUGUAACCUUUGUUUCUUGUGAUCUCGCAACUAUAUUGCUCAUCUAUACUCUGUAACAAUUGCCUAACAGGCAUGUUCAUGUUGGAUCUAACAGACUCUUCAAACUUGUCUGCUACCCAAUUGGAUGUCAUGUUUUUGUUUCUCCAAGCAUGGCUGCAAUUGGUGUGGACAUCGUAAAUUGUUUUAACUACAAAGUCUUCAGUACCCAAAGCAGGAACGUGGCUAGCAUAAAUGUACCACUUACACGGAUCUGCACAUUUAGCUCUCAUUCUUGUUUUGUCACUUGUAUACAUGUAUACAGGUCUUCCACUUAUAAUUGCAUAAUUUCUGAGAGCAUCUCUGAACUGUUUUUUGGUUCCAAAUUUUUGUCCAACAUGAAAAUGGGGAUCUGUUCCAUCUCUGCUAGCAUUGAAACUAGUGUAUCUCACAGGAACAUCUUCAUCUUCUGAAUCUGGAUCACUAUUUAAUUCCCCUUCCACAAUAUCAUCCAAUAGUGGGUUGUGUUCAGCUUCAGUUUCAGGACCAGCUUCUGUUUCAGCUUCAGUUGCUGCACCUUCUCUAUUUUCACAUGCUUCAGCUUCAGUUGCUGCCCCAGUUUCUGUUACAGGUUCAGUUGCUGCACCUUCUCUAUUUUCACAUGCUUCAGCUUCAGUUGCUGCCCCAGUUUCUGUUACAGGUUCAGUUGCUGCACCUUCAUUUGUUGCACCUUCACCUACUGCACCUCCAUUUGAUGCACCUUGACCUGCUGCCCCUCCAUUUGAUGCACCUUCAGUUGCAGCACCAUUAUUUGAUACACCUUCAUUUGCUACACCUCCUUUUCUAACUCUUUUUGUAGCACCACAAAUGGCCUCCGACGUACGAGAUUUUCUCCUAUCUCUGUUUCUUCUAUUCCUGGAACUGUCAUUGUCCCUCCUAUUCUGACUUGAUGGAGUUGGGUCAUUAUCAACUUGGCUAUGCAUUUGUGGCUCGGACUCCUGUGUAUUGUUGUUGGCCUGUUCACAUCUCCUAGAAGAAUUUUGGUAUGCAUCUUCAUCUUCACCAGCAUGGUCAUGUGUCCACUCUAAAGCUGCAACUGAUCUACUAGCUUGGACUCCUUUUCGUUGUCUAUGAGGUAUUGCUGCCUGUUGUGUAAGAAUUUCACCAUCAUCCAAGAUCUCCUCUAUUACCACUGAACUCUUUGUCUGUGGUAACUGUUCCAAUUCCUUUUUCUUCUUCCACUCAUAUAUUUCCUCAACUGUUAAAUGAUGACAGUAUACUUCCAUCAACUUGUACUCAUUAACCCAACCACAGAAUUGCAUAAUGUCUUCAUCCGUUUGAAGUUCCAUCAGUCCAUGGUUCAAAUCCCCUCUAGGGUCAAUGUAAUAAUAUAACAUAGUAUCGUUGUGCCCACACUUUUCCACCAUUUUAUUUAUUUCAUGAAUCGACAUAAAAUCAGCAUGGCAAAGAUCGAAAUAAUCAAUCUCUCCAACCACAUAACUCUUGUAUUUCUCUCCCUCAAUUUUACCGCCGUGGUGGAGUUUAAUCGAAAAUGCAGGUAUAUCAGGAACUGCAACAACAACGACAAAGGCAAACAACAUGAUUCUUGUUAAUCACCAUUUUUUAUUGUCAUACAUGUUGUUCUUCUUAUAAAAAUACUUAACCCCCAUUUGUUAAUUAACCCGAAUCAGACAACUGCAUUUUGAAAAGUUUAUUUUUUUCAUUAAAUUACAAGAUAGAGGGUUCUUGUAGGACCCCUUGCAACCCACUUAUACGACAAAAAGCGAAGUCAAUCGUUCUUAUGUCAUUUUCUAAACAACUGGAUCACUUCAGCAAACCCUAAACCCAAUAAAAACUCUCACUAAAUACUUCUUUAUACUCAAAACACAAACAACACCAUUAAUCAAGCAAAAUGUGUACGGAUUGUAAUAUUUCUUACCGUAUAAUGUGUACGGAUCAAUGAAUUCAUCCCUUUGCCUUUUCACCCAUUUCCCUGCCAUCGAUGAUCGAUUCUUCACAGCUAAUCUUCGUCUUUUGCCGGUUCUUUGAGUCUUGUCACUGAUUACUGUGAGAAGAAUGUAUCAAUUUUGAUACUUUUCACUGUCAUUGUCCACAUUCCCAAAAAUUUUACCAACAUCCCAAAGCCCCACAGUUAAACCUUUCACUUACCAGAUGAAACUCUUCCCACUAAGGCUGUGCAGACGAAUUUGCCCCUCAAAAAGUUGAUUUCCGUCUCUCCUGACGGCACAAAUACACGGAGUGACCAAAACGGUACAUAUUUACUAGUUCAGUGACAUUUCGCGCUAAUAAAAAAGUUUAGUGACCAAAACCGGCACUUUGAAAUAGUUUAGUGACAUUUCGCGCAAUUCGCUCAAUUUGCUAUCAACAGUACUUGUGGUGUUGUGAAAUUGCUUGAUCUCAGUCACGUAACUAACUUGCGGGCACAUGUAUUAUUUUCAAACCUGCAAUUUUUUUGAAAUACAUGUCAAUAAGAGUACGAAACAAUAUUAAUAGUUUGAUAUAGUGUUACUGAGGAACUCACCAACUGCGCAGGUAUCAAGCAAAAUCUAAAUUGUGAUUAAUAUAUAAUUUGCUAACUCCAAUUGUACACAGUGAUGGUCCUGCAUAGUAUGGUUAUGUUCGCUCAAAAGCUAUUCAAAAUAUAUAGAAUAUAACUAAAAUCAAUUGAUUUACCUCUGAAAUUUCGUACGCAAAUACCAAAUGCUAGUAAAAUAUUAUUUUUUGUAGCAAACUGAUAUAACCGUUCACCAUCAUCAUUAGCAAAAUUAUCCCCCAAUAUGAAUCGAGCUACUGUCAAACUGUGUUGACAAAAUUUUGAUAAGUGCAAAUGUGGGGGGAAACGUGGGAUGAUGAUUAGAGGAUUUGUAGAAGUGGUUAUAGGAUGAAUUAAGAGAUAGUUGGAGUGGACUCUUAAUUGAAGUGGGAAACAUGGGAGGAAAUAUAGGGGGAAACGUGAAUGAUGAUUAGAGGAUUUGUAGGAGUGGUUGUAGGGUGAGUUAAGAGAUAGUGGAAAUAUUUUAAAUUUAAAUUUAAAUUUGAUUGGUGAUAAGGUGGGUUAUAACUCACUACUAUCUAUAUCUAUAUGUAUUCAAGAAGGAAUUUUUAGUAGAAACCCUCUCAAUGGUUUCUAAAUUUCUCAUUCUUUUUUCUAAAUUUUUGUAUUUAUUUUAAUACAUAAAAAGUAGUGGAUUAUAACCCACCUUAUCACCAAUCAAAUUUAAAUUUAAAAUAUUCCCACUAUCUCUUAACUCAUCCGACAACCACUCUUACAAAUCCUCUAAUAAUCAUUCCACGUUUCCUCCUACAUUUCCUCCCAUGUUUCUCACUCCAAUUAAGAGUCCACUCUAAUUUAAGAAUUUCACCCCAAUUAAAACUCCUCCAAACAUAGCAUCCUCUUUCAAUUUUUUUGCAUGCUCAUUCUUAUUUUUUGGUUAACCAAAACUAGAAUCUAUUAUCUCUUUCAUCUUUUUGUGGUGUCAAUCUUAGUUUUUAACUUAAUUUCACCAUGAAAUAUGCCCGCCUACAAUCCAUUCAAUAACAACUAAAUUUCAUACUCGCAAGAUUGCAAAGGAGGAAACAUUUGCUUAGAAAACGAAACGUACACCGCAACGAUUUCACACACCAGUUGAAAAAGUUUCAACAAUUUUGCGCUGACGAAAGAGAAAUCUCAAAUCAAAUUCGAAGGACAAAAUCCAGGCUACACCGAUUAAAACGUCGUUCGUAUCAAAUUAAAAAUUUCGUUACUGUGUAUUCUUUAAAUAUUGGCAUUUCCAUUGUAAUUUCAAAUAUUAUUCCCAAUACUGUUAUAUUUUUUAUUAGUUUCGAUUAUUUCCAAUACUAUAAUAUGUCUAUAAUUUUUGUAACCCUUUUAGUGAUCGAGUUAAUUAACUGAUCGAGUUAAUUCCUCCACCCUCGCUCUCAGUUUCUUCUUUGUUUUUGGUUCUCUAUUGAUUUUGUAAAUGUAUUGAUUUUGUUUUUUUUGUGAGCAGUUAUGGAAGAGAUUAUGUACAGAGACUUCAACGGAAAUCAACCUUCUUGCGAAGAACUGGAAAUAUAUUCUUGCCGGCUUAAUUUUUCAGGUCAGUCCCCUCUGCCCCUCCUUUUUGUCAUGUUUUGCUUUUCUUUUAAGGUGAUUUGGUCUUUUACUUUCUUUAUUUUUUCUCCUUUUAUUUUCUGGGCUGGUGGAUGGUUUGCAUCGUAUACAUGAUCAAUGCUUUAAAGAGGCCAUGUGAAUAGCUGCGUGAUGUAUAUAAUAUUUUAUUUGUUAAACAGGUAUAAUGUUAACAUACAAAUCAGAGAUUCCAGUGAUAACAUGCAUCUUAAUCUACAAGACAGAUAUGCACGAUUCGUAUUUGGUUGUAAUACUUUUUAUCUCAAAGAAUUACAAAGGAAGGUAGAAUUUCUUAAUAUGUAUUUAUUUUUUAUAGUACUAUUUAUAAACUAUGUAAAAAAAUACACUAAUUUCGUACGUUCUUAAUUAUCAGAAAAAUGGUGAUAGGUUGUUCAACCAACGAAUUAAUUCAUGCAAAGAUCAUGUAUUUUCAUUUGUAGUAUGCACUCCACAAAAUUCAACAAAGUUAAUUAAAUCACCAAUUUUGACUUUCGUACUAAAAGUGGAUUGGUGUGAAAAGUAUUCGCACCUUCAAACAAGAUUAUCAAAUCGAAUGCUUAGUAUUUGUAAGUAUUUCAUUUUAAUAACAAUCAAUUACAUUCAUUUGUAGAAAAAUAUCAUUCCUUUUUUAAUAUAAAUUUAUAUUAUUUUUUCAGGAUCCAUCUUCCAAAAAAGACAGUUCUUGAAUGAUAUACACAUUCUAUCAUAUUUUAAGCUAUUGUUAAAUAGAUAUUACAUUUUAAUUUUAUUGGUACAAUUUUUUCACCUUUAUUUGUUCACCCUUUUAUUUUUAUUUUUUUCAAUAAUGUCAGCACCGUGUGUAGCACAGAUAUUCCUACUAGUUAAAAAAGUAUUAUUGGUAGAUAUUUCCCAAAAGCACCAUCCAUGACUUCUCAAUUCUCAUUUAUUGGGGAGAUCAUGAUGCUUGUAUUUAUCAUGUUAUUUUGGUAGGUAUACCGUAUAGUGCAUAAAAUACAAAGUACAAAUGUACCUAAUGGACUAAAUUCCCAAAAAGCAGAAGUUUUUAAUCUAACUUCCCAAAAGGUGGUGAUUUUUAAACCUCUUCUCAAAGGAUGAAAAAUGCAUCCAUGGAAUGCAUUGUUUCAAAUAAAAAUGCAAUUUGUAAGUACGUUGUUCUAAUUUUCAGACAUUUAUUGAAAUAGGAAAAAAUGGUUAAAAAUGCUAUUUUAUAAAAAGUCUCAUAUAAUGAAUGCAUUUUUUGGCUUAAAAACACAUUUUCGAAAUGCAUUCAUUAAUUAAAAAAAACUCAUCUAACAAAUGAGCUUUUUAGAACAGACAUAAGUACUAAAAGAAUGUAUUUGCCCUCAAUCACUCUUAAUCUCUUUCUACCCUUUAACUUCUUCAGAGGCCAAAUGAAACAAACCACCCAUUCAAAUUUUUCGUAUAUCUUAUCCCAUAACCACCUUCAUCUCAUAGAUAAUAUAUUAUUAUUCGCAGCCAACGUAAAAGCAAUUUUGAUUAGGAGACUGCUAAGUUUCAAAUUAAGGCAUAUUGUCAGGUAAUACUUAAAAGUUUGAAUUUAGGGUUUAUGAAAUAAAUGCAUUUAAUUAUUUUAAAAAGCAAAAAGCAAACUUGAGAUGAUUCUUUGGUGUUUAUUGACAGAGGAAGACACCUCACAAAUGGCAUUUUUGUCUAGAGUAGUGGAUAAUGAAGAAGGUUUCUCUUCCCUCAAUUGCAAGUUGGAACAAACACUUGGUAUGUGUACUGAAGUGUAUCUUCAUUUUUCUUUUUAUUUUUUGUUGUCUUUGGUGCUAAAAUUGAAAAUAUGCAUGGGUAGAAAGGAUGGAUGUAAUGGGGGUGGUAAGGAUUGAUGCUUAAGUGCCCAAAUUUUGUUUAUGUUAUUUGUUCAUAUGCUAAAAAUAGUUUCACGAAUAUUAGUAAUAUGUUGCGGUGCAAAAUGUAGCUGCGUAUGACAUUCAAGACUUUAGAUACAUGCAUGUCUACUCUUUUUCAGUCAUUGCUAGGUAGUUCUUGAAAUUUUUUCUUAUUCUUUACUGGUUGUUGGCGAAUAUAAAUGUUGGAUUUAUAGAUACUAAUCUAAAUUCACGUAUGGUCAUGUCAAAAUUAAAAGAAAUUAGAGACCGCUAUAGACUUUAUUUUUGAAAGAUUCUUUUACAGCAUAGAACGUAAUAACUGUGGGCAGCCUAGAAGUUUAGGAGUUACCUACAUUUACAAGAUAUGAUUCGUUUUAAAAUAUACUUCUUAUUUAUGGUAUUUUUCAUCAUUCGAGAUGAAUUGAUUGCAGUUUACAUUGCAUUUGAAGGCUUGUUAGCAUAUGUUUUAAUGGAUUUUUAAAAUCCAUUGAAGCUUACUUUAUAUUGGGAUGGUCAUAUCCAAUAUUAUCUUGAAUUAGUAUUCAUAACCCCAAUUGGCAAGGUUGUUACAAUCAACCAAGGAUAAGAUUUGGAGACUUACUAAUAUAUACUUAUAUAUUAGAGUGGAUAAAUUAACUGUAGAUUUGAACCUCAUCUACAAAUAUCCUGAUCAUGGACCAUGGGGUUUCAAGUUUUGCCUAUUGCUAAUAAUGGAUGAAAAGGAAAUGGAUAUGAUAUUUUGUUUAGCAGCUCAGCAUCCAAAUACUAUGGUUCAUAUAUACGUUGUCCGAGAACCAGUUCUCAAUUGUAGGGAUGGCAAUAACAUCUUCACCAAUAAGGAAAUGGCUCCAUACAUAAAUGUUGAAUCCCCUGGUAUUACUUACACCUACAAUUUCAUGCACUCAAUCUUUUCUUAAAGAUAAGCAUGGUGCACAAUGGUUUGCAUCUUCAAAUAAUGAUAUUAUUUUUCCUACUAUGAGUAGCAUGUCACCGUCAUUGAAGCCCAUCCAACCAUCAUUUUCUACUCUUUUAGCGUCACAAAAUCCAGUCGAAUAUACAAAACAUGAUGAAAGUGCAUGUGUUAACCAAUAAGGAUAGAUGCAUUUGCUAGAAGAUGUUGUUGACUAUCCUAGUUCAUUUUAACUGGAACAUAAUCUAUAAGAAAUUGAAAAUAUGACAACCAUUUUAGCACCUGAAGAACCUAUUGUUAAGGCUGAAACUGGAAAUGCACUUGGAAUAACUGAUGUGAUUCAUAAUUUGGUCUGGAAUGAAGCAUCUUUGCCGUCUAGAGAUGAUGCUUUUUAUUGACGUUGAACAAGGGCAGUCUGAUGAAGAUAGUGAUUCCAAUGUAGAGGUUGAAAAUGGACAAUGCAUUUUUUAGGAUGAUAAUGGUAUUGAUAAUGGUCGUACUGGUGACAAUGUUACUUUUAAUCCUGAUGAAUUACCUCCUUACGAUCCAUCCAGAAUGCAUUUUUAUUUAGAUAUUAGAGAUCUUGAUAAAUUUGUUAUCACUAGUAGGGAAUCUCCAACAAGGAUAGACUUUUGAAGUGAAAAUAGUGUUGCAAUUUGCAAGCAUAUGCGAUUCAGUGACAAAGAGCAAUUAAUAAUGGCAGUCCAUCUUUGGUUUAUGGAGCAAUGCCAUGAGUUUCAAGUUCAAGAGAGCCGAAAGCAUAACAUGAAAGUUUGGGUUUGUUCAUUGUAUUCCGAAACCAUGUGACACGGAUUGGGGUUUGUAUCAAGUGAAUCAUCGAGACAGGUGAAAUAUAAAUUGGACCCUUAAGCACCAACGUCACGCCCAAAUGUGAAUGGAUUGAACUUCAAAUAUACAAGAAGGUGAACUUGAGGAUGUUCUUGGUUAGGCUAGCUUAGACUAUAUGACUUGGUAUAAACAGUGCACAAGAUGGCUUAUUGGCAACCCAUCAUUGAGACCACUACUACCAGCUGGUUAUUAGGGAAUUGCACCAGCUAAUAAGAUGAUGGUAACAACCAUUUAGAUAUUUUUAAUUGACUACUUUGUUUAAAGUUGUAUAUUAGCAACAUUAGAAUUUAAAUUGAUAAAAUUUCAGGUAGAUACGUUGCAUCGUGUCUAUUACAGAGCACUUAAAGCAUUACCACAUGCUGAGGCCAUCUCUAUUCUCGUUCUCACUGAUAUUCAAGAUAUGUGCCAGUCAACUAUGUGUGCCAUUGUAUAUGAGAUGAGAUUGAAACUCCCACCAUUGAAUCCAAUAAUGUCACUCUCAAUGGAUGAAGAGUUGCAACAUGUAGUCCCACAGGCACGUGUUUGAAGAGCCAUACAAGAAGGGUCACAAAGAGUCCAUAGAAGGGAAAGAAGAUGAAGACAUGCCAAAAUUGAUCAAAAUAUGGUACGAAAUCAGAUUUUAAGUCAGGAUAAGUUUGUAGGAGACCAUACGGUGAAUCAGGAGGCUAGAGGCAUGAAAAAUGAGCAAACAGCUAAUGAGUUCAAUUAGACAUAUAACCAAACUUUUGAAAUCAAUCUUGAUCAAGGUCAAGGGGAUGAACAUGCAGAAGGUGAUACCACACAUGCAUAAGCUGAUGAACAUGACCUGACACAUACACAAGGUGAUAACUGAUAAGCAUGAUCAGGCACAUGUGGAGUUUGAUUUGCAACAUCAAACACAUGAACACGUAGAUUGAGAUAAACGUGACACUUGUAGAAAUCGAGGUAAAAAUCAACAUCUACCCUUGCAGUCACUAUCUAAAAGAAUCAGGAGGCAAAAAUUGUGUUACUCUUAGGGCAUUCUCAAAUGAUUUAUUGUACUUGUCUUGUUAUAAGAAUUCUUAUUGUAUAUAAGAAUUUGGAUUGAAAACCAAGUAAAGUUAGUAUAUGAAAUUAGAUGUGAGAUUAUAUCCCCUUAUGACAUAUUUGAAUAUGCAAGUGUUUGCUUAACAGGUGAUAUAAACAGUUGAAAAUGAGGGAAAAUUUUGUCCAUUUAUUUUUUUUUAUUAAAUAUGAUUUAAUACACAAAUAAUUGUAUUACUAAAACAAAUCAAAUUACCUUUUCAUAAUACAAUUGGUAACACUUUUGCUUAAACAUGAUGCCUUUCUAUUGACAUAUAGAAUUUUCACAUAAUUAUGUUUUAACUUAUUAUAUCACUUUGUACCUUCAUCCAAUAUCUACAGUUUAGUGUAUAUUCACCUAAAUAUUUUGUUUAAAGUUUUCAGGAUAUGUGAAUAUUCUAGCUCUUUUUAGGCCAUCAUAUUUUUACUUUAAACAUUUAGGAUUAAUUUUUUAUGAAACCAUAAAAUUUUCUUUAUAAAAAGUGUUACGAUUUUUUAAGACGUAAAUUACCAACAUUCGAGAUACUAAAUAUGUAUGUGCAUAUGUCAAAUUCAAAGUUAAAAAACCUUUAAGCCUUUUGCAAACUUGAAAUGAAAUCUAUACCAAUCAAUUAAUAACAACUAUGAAAUAACAUUUUUUUUUGGAUCUUGACUUGUGUUAGUGAGUUAAAUUAAUAAUAACUCUGAUAAAAUAAUAAGACAAUAUUUUUUUUAAAAAACCUCACAUAACCGAAGUCAAUAUCAAAGAAAUGAAAAAAAAGUAGUACAGAUUGAUAAACAAAAAAUGCAUUUACUAAAUGAGUUUUUUUUUUUUGACAAAAUAGCACAUUUUGGAAAUGGAAUUUUUCGUGACAUAAAAAAGCGCAUUCGUCUAAUGCAUUCUUUAGCCAAUUUUUUCCUAUCUCAACAAAUUUGCAAAAAUUCAAACAACGUAUUUGCAAAUUACAUUUUAGUUUAAAAUAACGCAUUUGGUACAUGUGUUUUUCUCCCUUAGGAAAGAAAUUAAAAAAUUGUCACAUUGGGAAAUUAGUUUAAAAACUCCCACUAUUUGGGGAUUUACUCCUACCCAGACUGUUUUAGUUGGGCUGACCCCAUCACCCACGUUCGCUAGAUACUGCAGCAGCCCGCCACGUCAUUUUCGAUAGUCUUUAAACGCUGGAAUUGUCGAUACAUCCCAGUGUGUCAGGUGGUCCACUGUCAGAAAAAGUCAAACGAUCAUGUGGCUGUGAUGUAUUUCUGUAUUUGGAAACUUCAUGUAAUGUCGAGGUGUACAUCUAAGGGCCCCGCAGAUUCCACUUCUCCGCCGUACAAGGCCAGGCGUCCGCUACGGAGGUCCGUAUCGUGGUAGCUUUAGAUUCGGUGCCAGUUUGGCUGCUGUUUGUAGAGUUCUACGGAUCUACACUUUCUUGCUACGUAGACCAGCUGACUUACCUUACGCAUAUAUUCUCCAGGCUCCAAUAAAUGGAAUAGGAAAAACAUAAAUAUUUUGCCCAUAAUUGCAUAUAUUUUAUGUAAAUAUGCUAUUCAAAAAUGCAAUAUUGUGAAAUCAUUCUCAGUAGCGGACAUACUUUUAAAAUCAUUCUCAUGCUUUUUUUUUUUUAUUUUUUUAGUUUUUAGUGUAAUUGAAAAGUUUUGAAUCCGAAAUCUCUCGUUUAUACUCUCUCUCCCCUUUAUUAUCCAACCUAUCUCUCCUCCCAAUUAUUUCCUUGUUAAAAUGUAACACUGGUAAAAUUAACUCGCCACAUGUUUUGUUUUAACUUGGGACCAAGUUAGUUGUUUGCCGAUAAAUUGACUUUUGUUUAAUGUCCUAAACUUUUCGUAAACAAAAAAAAACAACUAGAAACAAAACAUGGAUGCUAUAGUUGUGAAACCCGCGAUUUUUGGCCCCUAUUUUAUUAUGGCAUUAUUGUAAUUUUUCCAAUUAAUUAAAAAGAUAAAAUUUUCUAGGUAAAAGAAAAAAAAUAAAUAAAUAAAGUAACUGUAGGAUGGGCUAAUGGGCUCUAAUAAAGUAAAACUCUGACUCAAGUCACCUAUUAGUAAGUAUUGCUAGGGUUAGAAUUUUACUAAAACCCUAGACAGAAAAAUAACCCUAGUCUUACCUCUCUUUCGUCUACCUCCCUAGAGCAAGAGCCGUCAGAAAGGAGGGAAGGAGAAGCAGGCGACACGGUCAAUCGAUCCGACGACUAGGCACCUAAACCUGUAAGUUUCGAGUUCAUGUAAGAAAACUUCUUUUUGGUUGUAAACGCUUUAGUAGUGGUAUUAAUUGUUCUAGGAAAUCUUAUGGACAUGUAUUAUUGCUAUUUAGGUUUAGAUAUAUAUGUUUCAAUAAGAUUCGUAUCUGGGUUAAUAGGAAUAGGGGGGUUGAUUUUAACCCUGAUAUUAUAGGGUGUUUGAAUCUGUUUUAAAAAAAAAAAAAAAAGAAAGGGAAGAGCAGCGGCGGCUGCCACUGCUCUGUUUCGGCCAGGCGUUGCAGAGGCAACGCCACAGGAAGAAUUCCAAGGGUUGGCCGAAAGGCCAAUUUUCGGCCAACCCAAGACAAAAAAAAAAAAAUUUGAAAGAUGAUGUCGCCAGCACUUGCUGGGGACAUAGGAAAUGGUUGGCCUUUUCGGCCAACCAAUGGAGUGAAUGUUGUUGCCAGACCUUGGUCAAACAAAUGGUUUCUGACGACCAUGGUCUAAAAGGAAAUGGUUGGCCUUCUGGCCAACCAUGGCUCUCACCCGAAGAGGAAAAAGGGAUAAUUUAGAUGUUAAACAAAUAUAAAAUAAAAUAAAUAAAUAUUUAAUAAAUAAAUUUUGAAUAUAACUAGUCCAUUUUUAUAGGUGAUCAUGGGUAUUAAAAUUCAGGACCCAAUUUAAAGAAAUUGUUAGAAUUCAAGUAUUGGUCAUGUAAAACUUUUAUGUAAUUAAUUACGUCUAAGAUAUUUAAAGAAAAAUCUAGGAUAUCUUAGUUUAGCCUUAUGAGGUUAAUGUAGAUGAGGUGAGAUAAAUUCUAAAUUGUUAAACGAAAUGUUUAAAAUAAUAAUAAUAAUAAUAAUAAUAAUAAUAAUAAUAAUAAUAAUAAUAAUAAUAGUAAAUAAUAAUGCUGAUGAUAACACUAAUAUUAAUAAUAAUCAUAAUCAUAAUAAUAAUAGUAAAUAAUAAUUAAUGAACAAUAAUAGUAAGGAUAAUAACAAUAUGGGCAUGGAGGAAGUAAAUUAAGGAUAUAAACAAAGAUACAAAUAUAAUACGAGUGGAAUAAACUAAGACAAUAAUAAUUAUAAUAGGUCAAUAUAUAUAGAUAUAUAUAUAUGUACAUGUAUACAUAAAUAAUAAUAACGCCUAUACACGCCUAAAAGUGGAAAUAAAGGGAAAGGUAAUAGUAACUAUCUGACAUAUAUAUAAGUGAUAAUAAAAUAAAUUAGCGACGACGAGUAUGGUAAUAAUAAUAAUGGAUAAUCAUAAAUUAUAAGUAAAUAUAGUAAAAUAGUAGUGAGGAUAAUAAACGGGAUUGUGAAUAAUUAUUUUCUUCUAAAUUAGGAAACUUUACAAAAUGAACACUUUCCAAAUUAAGAAACUUUCUAAAAAUAGAAACUUUCUAAAUUAGGAAACUUUCCAAAAAAAAAAUAGAAAUCAUCCGAUUGGAGGGAAAUGCUAUUAGGGUUCAUACAAUGGUCUAGAUAUGAAUCUUGUACUUACUUAGAGGUUGUAUAUUUAUGCAUCUGUAGGAAGUAACAACUAAUUAGGGAACUCAUGCAUUUGAUAGGUACGGUACAAGGAUUUAAGAUAGUUCCACUCGAGCAGCCAAACAAAGGUAGGUGGUACUUACCCUUCUGAGAUUUCAAAUGUGCAAAUGAGAUUCUUGUUUUCAAUACUAUUUUGUUGUGUUGACACGAAAGGUGUUUGAUUAAAUGCUUUACUUGGAUAUUUAUGAAAGCUAUAUUUUACUAUACAAAAAUGGACCGUGUGACUUAUCUGAAAAGUUUUGAUAUGCUCUUAUAUACAAAAUGAGCCGAAUCUUUUAUGAAAACAAAGAUUUAUGUAUAUGAUAUAUGAAAUGAAUUUUGACAAGUAAAGCUCAAAGCAGUCAUGGAAUAGACGGUAGGGGCUAUAGUCCUGCCUAAUUGCCAUGGUAGCCUGGUAUAGAGUCCGGCCGAUUGGUAAGGUCAUGGUAGCCUGGUAUAGAGUCCGGCCGAUUGACAAGGGUAGCCUGGUAUAGAGUCCGGCCGAUUGACCCAAAUAUGAAUGAGACCAAUCGGUAGUCAUGAAACUUAUUGGUCGCCCACCUAGUAGGGGUUUAAUCUCUAGGCUGAGUACUCAGUAGCCGGUCAUUACAUGUACUUGUUAUGAGCUAAUCUGAAAGAAUGAUUUAUAAGCCGAUAUGGAAUGAAUUUAUGAACUGAUUUGAAAUGAGGCUUAUGAACUGAUAUGAAUUGAUUUAUGAAUGGAUAUGAAGGGAUUUGUGAUUUGAGACGAGAUGAUUUAUGACUUUACGAUUUCUCAUGUACAACUAUCCAUAAGAUGCUUUCAAGUUGCUUGCCAUUCUUUACUACUGAUUGCUUUACAAAUGACGUUACUUUCAAAAUUACGGAUAUGAAUGAUAUGCAAACGAUUUGAGUUAUACUUAUAUUUGUAUAUGUAUCUGUAAAACUAAGAGUGCAUGGUCCAACAGAGGGGUAAAUAUUACCUACUGAGCGAUGUGUCGCUCAACCCACUUCUUACCAUUUUUGCAGAUUUUGAAGAGUAUGAAUUGGUUUACGUAGAAGACCCUGAGGAUGACUUUUAUUAGCAUUAGAUGAAUAGAAGUUGGCAGGCUAGCUACCGCUAGUUGCUAGUCUUAUUUACUUUUGUUUCCGCUGUUUCAAUAAAUGUACGAACAUCUUGAAUAUUCGUAGACUUCCUUUUAUAUGUAAUUCGAACCGCGCUUUAUUUGUUUAAAUUAUUUAGUACUGUCAAGUUAAAUUAGUUAAUGUAGCCUUGUAUUCCUGGGUGGGACUUGGGAGUACGGCGAAUGUCAUGUGACGGGCACGUGCGGGCUCGGGGCGUGACAAUAGUCCCUUUCUAGGUAUCUUAUUCUUAAGGUCAAUUUCGCCGUUAGAUAACAGAAAAAAAAAGAGUGAAUGGUCAAAAAUGUUAUUAAACUAUUAAAUAUGGCAUGGGUCAGUCAUUAAACUUUUUCGCAGCUACAAAGGUUACUAAACUGGCAAAAAUGGGUCAAGGAGGUCAUUUUAUCAAAUUCUAUCAUUAAAACAAUCGGUAAAUUAUUGAAAUUCAACGAUCUUUUUAGCAAAAUGACCUUUGGCAACUAAUUGUUUUACCGGUAAAAUUUGACAAAAUGACCUCACUGGCCUUUGUUUGCUAGUUUAGUGACCUUUGUGGUCACAAAAAAAGUUUAGUGACUGACCUGUGCCACAUUGAAUAAUUUAGUGACAUUUUUGGCUAUUCAAUAAAAAAAAAAAAGGAACACUUUUUAGGUAUCUUAUUCUUAAGAUUAAUCUCGCCGUGAGAUACUAGAAUAAAUGUUACUUGACCCUUAAAUUGUCACAAUUAUAAUUAUUUACACAUAUAACCCAUCAUUGAAUGAUGUAUCAAUUAGUCGUUCGAUAUAAAUUCAAGGAAUGGUUCUCUAGAGGAGCCAUAAAAUUUAAGCUGACUUAUCUGCAUCUCAAUUUAGGAUGCAGAAAUCUUUCAGAAGCAAAUUUUUUAAUUUCCUUUUAUGCUUACAGAAAUAAGGUGCUUACUGCUCUAGUUUUUCCUUUUAAUUUUCCUUUUAUUUAGAGGUAAGUAGUACGGUUUAUUAUGAAUAUAUAUAUAUAUAUAUAUAUAUAUAUAUAUGACUGUUCAUAGUUUGGCAUAUAUCAUCCCAUUAGUACAAACGGAUGGUCACUAAUUCAGUACUAGAAAUUAGCAAAAACGUAGUUAAUUUAUAGCUAAAUCCUUGUUCUCUUUACUUCCAGGAAUACCCUCCGACUAGCAACUGGAUUUUUAACAUUUCCAACGCUACCCAUUGCACAACCUUUUCUACAAUAGCAAAGCAGGAGGUUCACAUUGAAGCAUAUUCCUGUUUCUAAUCCAUUUCAUGCAAUUACUUAUCAACGAAAAUUUUACUAUACGAUGGACAAUAAUUGCUAUGUUUUCGAAACGACAAAACUAGUUGUCAGUCAUAUUCCUUACCUUAACCCCAUAAAAUGCUUGUCAAUGUUGUAAAAUGUUAGGUGCUAGCAUCUUGAAUAAUCAAGAGGAGAGCAAGCAAAAGUUCAAAGGAGAAGUAGAGAAAGAUAAACAAAUUGGUGACUAACAGAGAAAGAGAAACAGAGAAUGCCAAAAAAAAUAACGUCAUUUUUCACCUAGAAAAGUAUUGCUCGAGACUCAAUUUUUACUUGUCAUUUAGUUUAUUUUGUCACUUUUAACAAUUGGUAAGUCAUUAUUGAGCUGUGGGAGCAUAUUUCGAUCCAAGACAACUGAAGUACUUACCUGACCGUUAAAAUAGCACGUGAAAACAAUAAAAAUAGUCACAGUACUAGGUAUAUUCUUGGGGAUAAUUGCAGAAGGUUUCUGACAGUUGCACUCACCUCUCUUGAGAUUUUAAAAAUACCACUAACCUCUUCUAGCAUGAAUUUGGGGCACACAGCUGACGUAAGAUAGGGUGAAUUUACUUAUAUACGCUUAGAGUUUAAGGUUGUUAGUAAAUAAAUUUGGGUCAAAAAAAGGGCAAUAAAUAAGUUCAGGAUAACUAAUUAAACAAAAUUAAUAGUUAUUUCUUACCUGAUUAAACACUGGAAGUGCACUUACAAAAUGUUACCACAAAAUGACGCCAAUUGAUACUCUAAUAUGAUGUUAUUUUGUGAUUGAUAACAUUUGAAAGAACAAUCCAAAUUGUAUAUUAUCUACAUAGAAUAUAAGUAGAAACAAGAAAAAUGUAAGGGAAAGAAGCCUCCAAACAAGACUCCAUAAGAGAAUAAGUUCUAGUGAUUUUGGUUGAUCUCACUUUAUCUAAAGCAUUUGUGAAACGAAAGGAGAAAGAAAGCAGAAAUCAAGGCAAAAUUUAAGGAUUUUUUGGCUAAAAACUUGCCGCGAUCAAAAGAUAAUAGGUAAGCAAUCAUUUAUUAUCUCAACUUAAUACAAAAAGUUCUCUUUAGUGCAGGAGAGUUUUUGGAGUUGACUGUACACUUUAUACGUUUUAGAACCUCAGAUUCUUGGAUGUAUAUUUGUUGCUUCUUCUAGUUGUUGCUACUGUACUUGUUUUCUUUAUCCUUAUAUCCUCUUCAGUUUCUUUAAUUGGCUCUAAAUACAACUUCACAAGAAACAAAAAGGGUACGAAUGGAACAAAAUUAUUAUCCCACUUCUCAAAAGAUUUUUUUAAUGACAUUUUCUCUGACAUCGGCUGAAUCUACUAUCAAAAUCUUAAGUUCAAGGGAGGUUAGUGCUAUUUUUAAAACCUUAGGGAAGGUGAGUGCAACUACUAGAAGCCUCAAGGGAGGUUUCUGCAAUUAUCCCAUAUUCCUUAUUCAACGUCCUUGACAUGCAAUGAUCAGACGUGACUAAUUUUGUUAAAGAAAUGCAAAUUGAUUGUAGUAAUAUUAUUUCUACUUGUUCACACUUCAGAAAUUUUACUUUCGAGUGCAAAUUAAAUAUGAAAAUGUUAGUUAAGUGGAAAAGUGACGAGAAAAGACACUAGAUGCAUGCACUAAUAUUUAAGCUGUUAAAAUUGAAAUUUAGGUGCAAAGGAGAAAAAGAAAUCCUCUUAAAAGUAGUCUGUCUCGUGGAAAAUCUGAAUAUAUAAACGACAACAUAAAUCAAGACAUCUUGAUUUUGAUAUAUGAAGCAAGAACUGCAGACGAAAAAGGGGAAAAAAAAAGAGAGGAAGAAAUAAAGAAGAAAUUGUAGUUAAGCCCUGAAGACGGACACAAAAGCUCUUGAUAUUAGUUCACAUUAAGACCAUUACAGAAACUAGUUGUCACUGUCCAGUGUUAAACAUUGAUCUUGCAUAAGCAAGACAAUGCAAAAACAUUUUUUGAAAGAAAAAAAAAAGGCGAGAAACUUUUGCUUAUUAGAUAUUCUGAUCUAAUUAUAAUAGCAGGAAAUGUCGUCGAAUUUUUGGGGAUCCUUUUAAACAC